GAAAAUAAGGAAAGUGAUAGCAGCCCAGAAAUCGACCAAGUUUCUUUCCCCCUUUGGCAUUCCUACUAGGAUUCGGAAUACUCUUUCGCAUGACAAUCAUAAUUAUCUCCCAUAAUCCAAAACUCACAAAAACAUCAAAAAUCCGCCGAGAAUAAAUUAAGUAAAAAACAUGCACAAACAAAUAAUAAUAAUAAUCAUGUUUCAAUAAAAUUGCUAAGGCCAGAGACAAUACAUAAACAUAUUAGACUGUUCAUGACACAUAUCACGGUGGACAGUGUCUAUGUCCUUAUUACAAGCAGCGAGAGGAAUUAAAUAUGCUUGACACCACACACACGAGCGCACAGAUGCACGACACACAUAUAGUUGAGACCAACAGAUGGACCUCGACUAGAGGUCGCCUCAUAUGGUGAACAAUUUAUUGGAGAUAAACAUGAACAUAACUUGGCCAUAGCUUGAAGCAUAGCAACAUAUGCCUAUGAAUGGCAUUCAUGCUGGUAGCAAUGCAAUCAUAUCGUUUUAGGCUUGUCCAGCUUCUUCCAUCUUAGCAAGCACUGCCAUUUCUUCCAUCUUAGCAGCAACUGUCAAAUUGAGAUAUGGUAUCCCAUUAGCGUAUGAGUUAAUUUUGCACUGGAAAUAGAGUACAAGAUGUCUUCAUGAUGUAAGUAAUAUGCCUGAAGUUGUGAGAUGGGAAGUGAAGUCAACAAAUUACAUUAACGGAAAUGCAUGGAAGGCCACACAUACGUAUUAGUCCACGAUAUGCUACAAAGCUUGUAUGUACAUAUAACAAAUUAAAUGCAUUGAAUAGAGUGAGUUUACUGAAUUUACCAGAAUCGGACAGAACACAUGGGAAACAGCAAGUGUUCUUGCAGAGUGAGUCGGAGCCACCUGCAGUAAUACAAGCAAAACAACAUGCUUUUGCCCGGGCGGAUACGCAGCAGCUGCACUGUGCCGCGGUGGCCGGGUUAACAUUGAGGCUCAAGAUGACCAGGCACAUGAUCACCAUCAAAGCGGUAGUCCUCUUUCCCUCCAUUGCCUCCUCUUGCUGCUACCUUCCUUGGUUACCUAGCUAAGUUUAUUGGUUUUGUGUUGAGAGGUGAUUCUUGAAUGGACGUUGCCGGCUGCAAUUUAUAGGCAGCUGCGCUAUGUGAUGAUAUGGACAAGGUGCAAAUGGGUGGUCCAAUGGCAAGGAAAGGGGGUAUUCUGCUUGACAUUGGCAUCAGACAAAGCCCAAUGGCAACUGCUGACACGCGAUUAAAAUCAGAUCCACAUCUUAUCCAGCCAUUCACUAAUAAUUAAACUAAACCCACGCGGUCCGCGAGAUGCAGCGUCCAUGCAUAGCACUUCCCGCAAACAAUAGGAAAAAUUAGAAUUCAGAGAUAGCAGCUGCUUGCAUGAAACACGGUUGCACAGAAAUCAGUGGUGCUUGGACGGUAAGUAGUGUGGUGUACAAGCUUAAAGCGGCAGUGAGUCACGUUGGUGUAACAAGCAGUACAUCAGCUGGAAGAUUGAUAUGUCUAUUGCCCACGCAGCAUAGCAUUUUAUUAUGAUACAUUGAGUUAUGUCAUAUUGUUACUUUAAGUUAUUUUUUAAGUAUUAGUUGUAGACAAUUUAGUUGCAAAUUUAAGCGGUUAUUUUAAAUUAUUUUUUAUAAUGGAAUAAGUGGGUAAUUUAGAUGAAGAUUAGGGGGUUACUUUAGCUUAUUUUAUAUAAUAGCAGAGGUGGGUAAUUUAGAUAUAAAUUUAGACACGUUUAACAAAAUGUAUCUACAGUUUCUGACACGGUCCGUGUGGAGACGCUCCAGACAUGCUUUACUCAAGCGCAUCUAUACUUCAGUAGAAAUGAAAUAAAGCGUAUCUAACAUAGGAAUAAAGUGUAUCUAGAGGAGGUUUUUCUUGUAGCGAGGGAUGAACCAUUAUUGGACGAACUGGCACACUUGCUUCUACCCGCUCCCCCACACCCCACAACCGCCCCCAGUGUGAGCGUCCAAGUCUCGAUCGUUGCUCGCGUUAAGCGGUGCCGCCGCACUGCACCACAGCGACAGAAGCCACACCACCGGCUGCAUGUGACAGCGGGGAGCACCCUCACCACCUGCCCGCGGGGAGCGCUUACGCCAGCCAUAGUGUCCCCGUAGAACCGCCACGCGAGCAUGUGAGCCACCGACCGCCGUGCCCCCAAGGGCCAUCACCGCGCUACCCGAGGAUGUUGUCUACCCGGUGCCACGCGCCUCUGCUAGGUGCCUGCACCUGGGCCGCCACCGGUCGCCUGCACAGCCACGUGUUGCAGCUGCCCCCUGCGCUGAGCCACCCCAUUAAACGUUGGAAGAACCACCUGAGUCUCGCACGCCGAGGUCUUGCUGGUGACGACCAUGGCCUCCGCGAUCAUAUGAAAAAGUUGUCAACUACAAAGUAUUAGGCCUCGUCGAGCUCUACAAUUUUGAUCGAAAGUUUCUAUUCAUCCGAGAUCAAAUGAAAAAGUUGGUACUCAAAAUAUACAUCCAUUAAUCUAGUCGUGCUAAUCCUUACCACAAAUUAAAAAACUAGCAUGUGUCGUGUGUUUGUGACCCUAAACAAUCACAAACGAAUAACUUAUCAACUUCAAAAUUUAGCUGAUCAGGAGUCUAGGCAACCUCAAGGGUAUAAAUAUGUGCACCCUGAGGCUUGCAAGAUUUUAUCUCUCGAUUAAUCAAUGCAAUUUUUGGGCGCCACGCAGCCAAACCCUUAGGAGUAGAAGUAACGUAGCUUUUUGAUGAGUAUCUUCUUGCGCGCAGGGCUGCAUCAGCUUCGAUAUCCGACGAACUUGUAAGUACCGUCAUCCGGUCAUUACGUUAUCUAUAUUAAAAGUUUCUAGGCAUCAUCCAAUAUUCUAAUCUUUUAUCGUGUGGCUAAUUAUCGAGUUAUCUUAUAUUGUAAAUAAAACUUGCUAGGGUUUGUCCAAUAUUCCAUUUGUUUUCAGCGUUACUGCUUAAUUAGAUCUGCUUAGGUUGUUCUCAUCGGCUUCUAGUCUUGUUUAAACGUUCACAAGUUAUUUGAUCGUAUCGGCAAGUUCGACCUUGCAUGCUUUUAUCGCUUUAUCUAUACUAGGUCCGAUAGAUCUUUACCCCUUCCCCUUGUAUUGCUAGCAGUUGGAUCCAUAACGUUAGAACGAUACUGUUGAGAGCUGAUGCAUUGAUUUAGUAUCAUCCAUAUCUCAUAGAAUGUAUCAUGGUUAAUGGCAAUUUAAUGAAAUUAUAAAGGAUAAUAACAAUCGUGCUUUCGGCGUUCCAAAAAUCAAUCAAGAAUUCAUCAUGGUUGUGCAGUGUAUGGAAACCUUAUGGUAAUAGUUAGAUGGGAAAUGUUGUAUUAUGUAAUAAAUCCAGGUACUUCACAAAUCAUGAUCGAUGGAUGUCUAACACUGUUGAAAGAGAUUGGAAUAAAGCAGACUCACCUCAGACUAUGCACCAUGUCUGAGUGACCCACCUCACCUUGCCAGGUCACUGGUCUUGCCAGCACACAAGCUAUGAUGUUGCCAGGAGUGGUCAGUACACAAAUCUAGCUACCAGUCGGAUCGAAGGGCAGGCAUUUGCAUUGUGGUUGUGCUUGAACAUGGAGAUGUCUUGCGAUUGUCACGCACCAUACAUCCUCUCUCAGUUUCACUCCGCCUCACACACGGAUAGGACACCAGGGACCCGACACCAUGCAUGCCGAUUUCAUAUUAUUAAUAUUUAUUUUUUGAAUGGUUGUUGAAACUAUAUAUAUAGUUAGUCCAAUCUCACGUUUCCGAUUAUAAAAAUUAACAUAAAGAGAUCGGAAGGGAGAGCACUAGAGCCGGCAUUUAUACAAACUGGUAUGAAUAGUAAAAUCUAGAAUUCAUAAAUAAAAAAAUGAUUUGCACAUCUAUGCAAUAAUUAGUGGUUAGUGGUAGGUCUAGAGAGAUAUCUCAUCAAAUCGAUGAGUUAUAUCCGGUUUAAACGAGGAUAAAAAUGAGUGUAGUCUUUUCGCAGCUGUACCGCCUUUCCUUUCGUGUGUUCUAUUGUUCCCCUAACACCAAGUCUCCAAGACUCAAGAAAAUAAGGAAAGUGAUAGCAGCCUAGAAAUCGACCAAGUUUCUUUCCCCCUUUGGCUUUUCUACUAGGAUUCGGAAUCCUCUUUCGCAUGACAAUCUUAAUUAUCUCCCAUAGUUCAAAACUCACAAAACUAUCAAAAAUCCACCGAGAAUAAAUUAUGUAAAAACAUGCACACACAGAUAAUAAUAAUAAUAAUCAUGUUUCAAUAAAAUUUCUAAGGCUAGAGACAAUACAUAAACAUAUUAGACUAUUCAUGACACAUAUCACAGUGGACAGUGUCAGUAUCCUUAUUACAAGCAGCGAGAGAUGCUUGUCACCACACACACGCGUGCACAGAUGCACGACAUACAUAUAGUUGAGACCAACAAAUGGUUGCCCCAUAUGGUGAACAAUUUAUUGGAGAUAAACAUUAACAUAACUUGGCCAUAGCUUGAAGCAUAGCAACAUAUGCCUAUGAAUGGCAUUCAUGCUGGUAGCAAUGCAAUCAUAUCGUUUUAGGCUUGUCCAGCUUCUUCCAUCUUAGCAAGCACUCCCAUUUCUUCCAUCUUAGCAACAACUGUCAAAUUGAGAUAUGAAAAUUCCAUUAGCACAUGAGUUAAUUUUGCAGUGGAAAUAGAGUACAAGAUGUCUUCAUGAUGUAAGUAACAUGCCUGAAGUUGUGAGAUGGGAAGUGAAGUCAACAAAUUACAUUAACGGAAAUGCAUGGAAGGCCACGCAUGCAUACGUAUUAGUCCACGAUAUGCUACAAAGCCUUCUAUGUACAUAUAACAAAUUAAAUGCAUUGAAUAGAGUGAGUUUAGUGAAUUUUACCGGAAUCGGUCAGAGUACAUGGGAAACAGCAAGUGUUCUUGCAGAUGAAGUCGGGGCUACCCGCAGCAAUACAAGCAAAACAACAUGCUUUUGCUCGGGUGGAUACGCAGCAGCCACACUGUGCCGCGGUGGCCGGGUUAACAUUGAGGCUCAAGAUGACCAGGCACAUGAUCACCAUCAAAGCGGUAGUCCUCUUUCCCUCCAUUGCCUUCUCUUGCUGCUACCUUCCUUGGUUACCUUGCUAAGUUUAUUGGUUUUGUGUUGAGAGGUGAUUCUUGAAUGGACGUUGCCGGCUGCAAUUUAUAGGCUGUGUGAUGAUAUGGACAAGGUGCAAAUGGGUGGUCCAAUGGCAAGGAAAGGGGGUAUUGGCAUCAGACAAAGCCCAAUGGCAACUGCUGACACGCGAUUAAAAUCAGAUCCACAUCUUAUCCAGCCAUUCACUAAUAAUUAAACUAAACCCACGCGGUCCGCGAGAUGCAGCGUCCAUGCAUACACUUCCCGCCAAACAAUAGGAAAAAUUAGAAUUCAGAGAUAGUAGUGUGCCAGCAGCUGCUUGCAUGAAACACGGCAAUCAGUGGUGCUUGGACGGCAAGUAGUGUGGUGUACAAGCUUAAAGCGGCCUUGUGUAACAAGCAGUACAUCAGCUGGAAGAUUGAUGUCUAUAGAGGCUUGUUAUUAUCUUUAAUUCCACAUACUGCACAAUGUCAAAGUAAAAUGCGAAAGGAUAACAAGCUGAUACAGAGUGAUUGGAUUUACUUGAGGAGUAGCUUGAAGAAACAUCCAGCAACAACAGAAAAGUCAAAGUAUCGAGCCCAUGAAGCUAUAAAGCAGAUUGUAUUGGCUAGAAGAUUCAGGACGCUGGACUUACAAAAGUUGGAAGCAUGACAUUCAUACUCCGAACUUAGGGGCCUGUGUUCACACUGGAUGAUUUUAGCCGGUGAAAUCCCUUGUUUCGCAUUUUUCAUCAGGUCCCAAUGCCCAUGCAGCAUAACAUUUUAUUAUGAUACAUUGAGUUAUGUCAUAUUGUUACUUUAAGUUAUUUUUUAAGUAUUAGUUAUAGGCAAUUUAGUUGCAAAUUUAAGUAGUUAUUUUAAAUUAUUUUUUUAUAAUGGCAUAAGUGGGUAAUUUAGAUGAAGAUUAGGGGGUUACUUUAGCUUAUUUUAUAUAAUGGCAGAGGUGGGUAAUUUAGAUAUAGAUUUAGGGGUUACUUUAGGCUAUUUUCUUAAUGGAAUAGGUGGGUAAUUUUUUUAGAAAAUAUAAUAGAUCCAAUGGCUACGAUGAUUUGAGUCUAAUGAUUGAUGGCAAGAUGUUUUGCUUGUUUGUGGGAAUUUUAAAUAUUUCUCUUUUUUCUAGAGUGUCCACCUAGAAUGCUAGGUGGUUUCACUUGGAGGCUUCAAAAGGAGCUUCCAAAUUAGUAAUAGUAAGAUUUUCUCAAAAGAGACUUGAUUCUACCACUAUAACUUGAUUGGCCGCCCCGGCCUCUACCUUUGCCUCCAUUUGACUAUUUGAGUUGGCUGUCAACGAUUCACGGUGCUGGCAACAUUACGUUUGAUCCAAAUGCCACUACUCAUGUGCGCCAGCUGUAUUCUACCAAGUGGCAUGUGGGAAUGCCAUGAUGCAUGUGCAGUAACAGCGUGCACAUCUUGUAGGAUUCGCACCUCGUUUUCACUAUUGUAUCAUCUUAGCGAUUAGGAGCGAAGUGUGCUUUGGGGUUGCAAUUGGGAUAUAGACCUUAUUCUCGAAGAGAAUCUUAAAAGCUUACAUUCGCCCCCUCCGGUCGCCCGUGUUCCGAUCCUUCACCUAUAAAUUAGGAGUAGCAGGUAGUAAGUGGCAGGUUAGAUAAGUACUCGUUGAUGAAUGUUGACUUGGCGUGAUCGGCUCUGCUAUUUUCACGAAGAUGCCAAUAUUGAAAGCACAUCCACCAUUUCUGCGGAUGUGAGGGAUGAACUAAUUAAUUGUUUCUUGUCCAUUAUUGCACCGUACCUCCCAUUUUCCCGUUUUCCAAACAAUUAAAGGUACCCUUACGUUACGCUUGAUCCAAAUGCCACCACUCAUGUGCGCAAGUGGCAUGUGGUAAUGCCAUGAUGCAAGUGCAGUAACAGCGUGUACAUCUUGCAUGAUUCGCGCCUCGUUUUCACUAUUGUAAUCUAUAAAGAAACAAACAAAAAACAAAACGAUGGAUGGAUCAGCUCGGGAUCCAAUAAUCGAGAGGAAUUCAAGGAAAAAGAAAAAUUUGGGAUCACGUGUGCGGAUCCUAAUAACAAUAUAUAGUAGGACAUCUCCAUGCUCACCUAGUAGCCACUACUAGUGCGCCGGCCCAGUUGGCGCUAAGACAUCGUACGUGCAUUAAGGGGGUGUUUGGAUACUGGACGCUAAACUUUAGCAGUGUCACAUCGGAUGUUCGGAUGCUAAUUAGGAGGACUAAACAUGAGCUAAUUAUAAAACUAAUUGCAGAACCCCUGUGCUACUUCGCGAGAUGAAUCUAUUAAGGCUAAUUCAUCCAUCAUUAUCAAAUGGUUACUGUAGCACCACAUUAUCAAAUUAUGGACUAAUUAGGCUUAAUAGAUUCAUCUCGCGAAUUAGACUCCAUUUGUGCAAUUAGUUUUGUAAGUAGUCUAUGUUUAAUACUUCUAAUUAGCAUCCAAACAUCCGAUGUGACAGGUGCUAAACUUUAACAGUGGGGAUCCAAACGGGGCCUAAGUCUGUGGUGCCCAACGAUCUCUUUCUUCUAACUCAUGCUUGACUGUGACGGUGCUAUUAUAUAUUAUUGCAUGAUCAUCAGGAUAAGAUCGUAUAGUGACUGAGUGAGACAUGUAUGUACUAACUUGCAUUUAUCCAAGAAGAGGCACAUGAGUAGUGGUGCAUGCAUCCACACCUUGGCAUGCUGCAAACUUUUAUGGGUCCAUAUGUAUAGCCAAGUAAACUAUUUUAUCCUGCUGCAAGCUGCAGACAUAAGUUUAUUUAACCUUUGUUCACAAUCACUUCCACUGUCGUCGCAAUUGCCAAAGACAAGCUCACCAAUGCUAUUGCGGAGCAGGCCAAUUUCCUGUGGAACUUCGGCGACGACCUGAAGGACAUGAACUCGGUGCUGGAGUCCAUCUCAGCAGCGCUUCAGGACGCUGACACCGGUAGAAAAACGACAUUCCAUCCUCAACAAAAAUCCUAGCAUCCUCUACUCAGUCAGAUGUACUGUGUAGGUGAGAUGGUAAGGAAGCUAUGCGCGAGGCUUGAGGUCGUGAGUUCGAAUCCCAUGCACCACGCACGCACGCGCAUAUUUCGCGUGACUUGUGAUCAGCCAAGGAGAAAUGGGUGCAGCUGUUGCUUAAGUGCCUGAGGCACACUGCCAUAGACAUCUCGGAUUUGCUCGAAGACUACCAAGAAACUAGGAACCCUUAACAGCAAAGGUGAGUACUUAUGUAUGUCAGCAUCUAUGUUGUCCAUGCUUCCAAUGCAAUAACACGAAGGACUACUCUUCCUAGCGGACUCUUCACAAUCACUCGUAAAGGUAUGCGUUUCUCAAUGCAAUUUCAUAGAAGGCAAUCGAUCCAACCAAGCGACUAAAUCAUUCGUCCUUGCCAAUGAUGUGCAUCAGGUUUUCUAUAUGAAGGGCAUGUCUAGCAAACCCAAGAUUUCAGAACAAAAGAAAAAUCAUGUGAGCCAAAGCGCCACAUUGUUCUUCCAAGUAAAAAAAAUCAUGGGAGUCAAGAACAAAUCAGACCAAUCAGGGGAUUAUUGUCAGCUUGAUGGCAUGCCUCCAUUCGAUGUCGAAGUUGACCCAAGCAUCAUGUUAGCCAAAGUUCAAAUGUUCGUGCGUUGCUAUGGUAAAUAUCAAUUGUGUUUUUUAAACUCAUGGAUUUUUUUAUCUAAGUUUUUAUUACACUUAUUGGAUGUCUACACAUUUGCUAGAAAACCAAAAUAAUUUUGACUUAAUUAUUUCUUUCAACUCAAAUACUCAUUAAAUUUCUACGUUUUUAUUUAAGCAAGAGAGUUGCUACAAAAAAAUGGAUACGUAACCAUAUUGUAUCAUACAAAGCAACCACAUUUCACAUAUAGUCCGGCUUUGCAAACACCAUUGUUAUCUGAACAUAGCAUACAUGAGUUAGUAGACAUGGAUAUAUUUCUAAUUGCAAGUAGCAUAUAACCAGCCUGCACCGACGCAGCUCAAUAUGCGAUAAUUUUUAUCUUCCCAUGUAAUUUUUCUACUCUAGUACAUAUUGAACUCCACAUAAAUGUGAUCUUUCACGCCACAUACGGUUCCUAAAGUUUGGAAACUAAAUAGAUAGCCAGAAAUUUUUUAGAAAGUAUUUAUAUGGAUACAUGUAUGUUCUUCGCAAACUAACAGUAUUGUUUACCAAUAUCAAAAGGAAUAUGGCUAGGAUCAUUGCCGCAUAUGGCAGGUGAUGGUAAAGUUAUCAACUGCAAAGUAUUAGGCCUCGUUGAGCUCUACAAUUUUGAUAUAAAGUUUCUAUUCAUCCGAGAUCAAAUGAAAAAGUUGGUACUCAAAACAUACAUCCAUUAAUCUAGUCGUGCUAAUACUUACCACUAAAUGAAAAACUAGCAUGUGUUGUGUGUUUGUGACCCUAAACGAUCACAAAUGAAUAACUUAUGGGCGUUGCUAGCGCCCGAACGUAUGGUCCGGGGUGCUAGCAUCGGAUGCACGAGCAGCCGUCCGAUCAGGUCCGACACCACUUCAGGAUCUGGCUCAAAAAAAAGUCCCACCGAAACAUUGUUCCAUGUUGCAUAAAAUAUCCCACUAUCCAUUGCUGGGUCUAGAGCAAGCACCAGCUUCCAAUAUGCUGCUCACCCAAGCUAAAUAGGGGCAUUAAAAUUGCAGAAAUAUGUCGCAUAUCCUUCUCAAAUUAAACUAAAUCGCAACAUCCGAAAAUUUCUUACACAAAACCAUGAAACAUAUCGAUUAGAUAGGUGUAACAAGAUGAAAUAUGGUAUGCAACAUAUAGAUUCUGAAAAACAGAUGAAACAUUAUUUAAUGAUUGUUGAAACAGUCGAGAAAAAUAGAUGUAACAUCUAAAAUUAAGAAAAGAAGCUUCAUGCAAAUUGCAAAAAGCUGAAAUAAGUGGUUGAAACAUUUCAAAUCACCAAAUGCCACAUUUGAAAUGACUAGAUGAAACAUCACAAAAUCAAUUGCAACAGUUGAAGAUGAAAACAAUCAAAUGCCUUGCCUUUCUCUAGAUUUGACCCUCAAGCAUGAGUCCAGCCAUUUGCACAUUAGACCCUUGGGAGGAGCUCACCGGAGAACAACAAGACCUUGUUCUCCAACAAUUUUCCGAUCAAAUUGCAACAUAAAAAACAAAGCAUUGCAACAUCUGGCGGUAUCAUGAGCUACAACAUCAACCAGUUAGGAUCAGGAGAAAGAGGGCAAACACAAGCCUAGCAAUGAGUUAUAUCCGGUUUAAACGAGGAUAAAAAUGAGUGUAUUUUCCACUCAUCAUGUUGUCUUUUCGCAGCUGUACCGCCUUUAGUGUGUUGUAUUGUUCCCCUAACACCAAGUCUCCGAGGUCCGUGAAAAUAAGGAAAGUGAUAGCAGCCCAGAAAUCGACCAAGUUUCUUUCCCCCUUUGGCUUUCCUACUAGGAUUCGGAAUCCUCUUUCGCAUGACAAUCUUAAUUAUCUCCCGUAGUCCAAAACUCACAAAAACAUUAAACAUCCUCCGAGAAUAAAUUAAGUAAAAAACAUGCACACACCAAUAAUAAUAAUAAUCUUGUUUCAAAAAAAUUGCUAAGGCCAGAGAUAAUACAAAAACAUAUUAGACUGUUCAUGACACAUAUCACGGUGGACAGUGUUUGUGUCCUUAUUACAAGCAACGAGAGGAAUUAUAUAUGCUUGUCACCACACACACGCGCGCACAGAUGCACGACAUACAUAUAGUUGAGACCAACAGAUGGAUCGACUAGAGGUGGCCCCAUAUGGUGAACAAUUUAUUGGAGAUAAACAUUAACAUAACUUGGCCAUAGCUUGAAGCAUAGCAACAUAUGCGUAUGAAUGGCAUUGAUGCUAUCGUUUUAGGCUUGUCCAGAUAAUAAUAUCUGGUUUUAAGCAUAACAUGGUUUUUACUUAAUUUAUCUGUGCGUGCGAUAAUAAACCAGAUAAUAGCUUGAAACAUGUUGUGCAUUGGCACCACACGCACGAGAAUAAAUUAAGUAAAAAACAUGCACACAUAGAUAAUAAUAAUAAUCAAGUUUCAGUAAAAUUGCUAAGGCCAGAGACAAUACAUAAACAUAUUAGACUAUUCAUGACACAUAUCACGGUGGUCAGUGUCUGUGUCCUUGUUACAAGCAGCGAGAGAUGCUUGUCACCACACGCACGCGUGCACAGAUGCACAACAUACAUAUAGUUGAGGCUGCAAUUUAUAGGCAGCUGCGCUAUGUGAUGAUAUGGACAAGGUGCAAAUGGGUGGUCCUGAUAUGGAUAAGGUGCGAAUGGCUGUCUACUUGUAUUGUGUAGCUCCAAUGUACGUAUGUAUCUUAUACAUGUAUACAGUUGAUGGAUAAGGUAUACAGUCUUUGUUACCAAGUAAUUUUACUUUCGCACGUUUCAGCCGAGAGGCAGAAGAGAAUAUUUUACAGAGAGGGCAGAGAAGGAGGUUGGUAGGGUUCCCCGUGUCGCCAAGAUUUUUGCAUUUUACAUGUGUGUAUAGAUCACUUCGUCGUGCGGCGCCCUACUCCAGGUUGUACCCCAGCAGACCACGUUCUGUUUCUCUGCCUCCACAAGGACCACAAGACUUAGUAAAAAAAGCUAAACUUUGCAACACGAUGUAUACAGAAUUAGUAGCUAGAUCUAUAUAUGAAAUUCAUCCUAAAACUGAUAGGUGGAGAGAAGUAAAAAAUACCAAUUUGAUUUCCUAUCUGAUUAGAGGAAAUAUGGAUGGAUCGGUCGCAAUUAGCGAAGUGGCUCCAAUUGACAUAAAAGGUGUGCAUUGCAUUCAGCAAGAAAAAUUGAGUUUCUACUGAAUCUAUGAAAAAAAAUGAGCUUACGUUAUCAUAUAUAGGCAUAAAUUAAAAUGACAAGAAAUUCCAACCACGGUAUAUAAGACCAAUAAUUGGAAAGAUGGAUGAAAGGAAGAUAGGGUUUAAAUUAAAGUCUCCGCAUAGGCAGUUUGACUAUGAUCAAUUUUACCUGUAUUUCUCAAUAUGUAGAUAAUUCUAUGCCAACAAUUAAAAACUAAUACAUAAUUUGACACGGUGCACCUUGAGAACGUUUUGAAAAUGUACUCUCGUUACGCGUUCACCUCCUUAACAAUAACUGCGACUGUAAAAUAGGUACAUCGACGCUAGCUAAAUAAACAACUAUAAGAUUUAGCAAGAGAUCAUUUUAUACAAUCCUGUAACGAAAGAAUUUGACAAUUAUAUUGUCCAUAUAUUUUGACGAAAAACGUCUAAAUUAUAUAAGGUGGGCCCGAAACAGUUGGAUUAGCAUAUGGUUACCCGUUUGUUGUCUUCCGGCCCUAAAAAAAGGACCAUCUUACUGAAAAAGGUUCUAUUAGCACAAGUAGAGAACUGACUUUCGAUGCACCCCCUUUUAUCCCGGUUUAAAGUAGGCCCGGGAGAAAAGGGGGUGCGCCAUGGUAGGCAAAAAUAGAGGGGAGAUUUACUCCCGGUUGGUAUUUGCAACCGGGACUAAAGGCCACCCUUUUGUCCCGGUUGGAGCCUCCAACCGGGAAAAAAGGGUGGGUGGACCUUUUGUCCCGGUUGGUGUUACCAACCGGGACAAAUAGUUUACUCCCGGUUGGAGGUUCCAACCGGGAGUAAACUUUUAGUCAUUUUGUCGGCCCUUUUGUCCCGGUUGGAGCCUCAAACCGGGAGUAAACUUUCAAUCGGGACAAAAGGUGUUUCUUUUUGUGUCAGUUGGAGUUUCUAACUGGGAUAAAAACUCAUCCCCAUUAUAUACCAAGACAGAGGUCUUUCUUCCUCCUCCAGCCCGAGCCAGUCCACCACAAAGACAGAGAGCUCAGCUUCACCUACUCUCCGGUGGUGCCGAAGCAAGGGAGGUGCUGCCCGAAUUUUUUUACCCUCAUUUUCGUGGGAAUUUCACUCAGCCAACACAAGUGUUGUGAAGGUUUGCUACUUCAUCCUCGUGUUACGCUUUGAUUUAUGCUUUGGAGAUGGAAAGUUUAUUUGCUAGAAUGUGAUGAAGUAGAAAAUGGAGAGGUACUUUAAGCUAGAAUGUGAGGGAGAUUGAUGUGUCAUAUAUAGUAUGUAUUCUUGCAGUGAUUUAAGAAUGAUGCUACCUUGUCUAGACGGUUUAUCUUAUCAAAUUCAAUAUGGUUUUUCAAAUUCAUACUUAUUGAACUUGCAUACCGUGUUCAUGUCGGCGAGAAUGUUCUACGAGAAAGAGUGGAUACGGACAUCGUGACCGUAUCCCCUUUUUCGUAGAAUCGAACCUCUUUCAUGACGAAGUGCGAUGCCGCCCAGUUGAGAACAUGCUCGCCAGAUGAUCACGGUCUUCAAGUUCAACAAGUUCUGUAGGCAUACCGUGAUCAUCUCGGUAAGCAUGUUCUCCGUGGAGCAGCAACGGACGUCAAGGAGGAGGUUCGAUUUUACGAGAAAGAGAGGCAACAGACAUCGUGGAUGACUGUGUCCCCUUUCUCGUAAAAUCGAACCUCUUCCAUGACGAAGUAUGGUGCCGCUCAGUUGAGAACAUGCUCACCGAGAUGAUCACGAUCUUCAAGUUCAACAAGUUCACCGCUAAGGUAAGAAUUUUUGUACAUAGAUGGCUUCUGCUACUGGAGGAAGUGGCGAUGGUGGGGGCGAUCGUCGUUCCUCUUUCGGCAAGGGGAAAAUCAUAGUUGGCCCUCAGGAUAAGCCGAAGAAAAUGAGCGCGUUGGAGAAAGCAAUGCUUCGUUAUUUGCAGAAACGUCAUGAAGAAGCUGUUGCCGCGGGUCAGGAACCUCCUUUUGGUUGUCGUUAUGCUCCACCCUCAGUCCCGGGUGUUUCACGUCCACUUAGUACUACCAUUUCAGGUGGCACAAAUAAACCACAGGAUGAGGCUGGGUCAGCGGAACCUUCAUCUUCACCGCCCAAGGAUGCUUAAAGUCCUCCUAGAUAAUAACCAGUGGAUGGCUUGUUGUAUUGUAUCAUGUUGUUUGGAUAUUUAAUUUAAAUAUGUGUAUUUGUAUCUAUAUCUAAACUUUCAGCAUUAUUUGCACUACAACGUUUGACAUGCUUUCAAUCAUGAAUCCAUUUUCAAGUGUAAUCAAUUUUCACGCGUAAUCCAUUUUCAAGUGUAAUCAAUUUUCACGCGUAAUCCAUUUUCAAGUGUAAUCAAUUUUCAUGUGUAAUCCAUUUUCAAGUGUAAUCAAUUUUCACGCGUAAUCCAUUUUCAAGUGUAAUCCAUUUUCAUGCGUAAUACGAUGCAGAUGGACCGGCAAUGGAUGUAUAAUGCAGACAGACGGAGCAAGGUGUUUAUUGAUGGCUUGCAUUAUUUUCUCGAAGUGGCCAAAGCGAACAAGCCAGAGAAUGGGAUCGUAUGUUGUCCAUGCUUCCAAUGCAAUAACAAGAAGGACUAUUCAAAGGAUUCCUGGGGGACUAUUCACAGCCACUUGUUUAGAUACGGUUUCAUGCCUAACUAUUUGGUUUGGACCAAGCACGGUGAAAGAGGGGUUGUAAUGGAAGAUGGUGAGGAGGAGGAGGAGGAUGGCAACAUUCCGGACUAGGUUGCAGGCCAAGCUUUUGCAGAUACUACAAUGGGCGAGGCUGAUGAAGAUGAGUUUGCAGAAAAUGGCCCUACGAUGACCUUGGUCAGGUGCUACGAGAUGCACACAGAGAUUGCGAAACUGAGAAGGAAGCAGCAAAGUUGCAACGCAUGAUAGAUGAUCACCAAAAAUUGUUGUACCCAGAUUGCCAGCAGGGCCAUAAAAAACUAGGUACGACACUAUAAUUUGUGCAAUGGAAGGCAAAAAAUGCUGUGUCCGAUAAGGCAUUUCAGGGGAUGUUGAACAUUGUCUAGAAGAUCAGGCGAGAUGAUCCUGGUGAUGUCGAGGGGCAGUCUCCCAAGAAGAGAGUUCCCGCGAAGGUGAUGUGGUAUUUCCCUAUAAUACCACGCUUGAAGCGCUUGUUCAGGAACAAGGCAAAUGCUAAGUUGAUGCGAUGGCACAAAGAAGAACAUAUGGAAGAUGAGAUGCUGAGACACCCCGCAGAUGGGGCCCAGUGGAGAUCAAUUAAUAGAGCAUUCCCGAACUUUGAAAGUGAAGCAAGGAACAUAAGGUUUGGUUUAAGUAUUGAUGGAUUCAAUCCAUUCGGUGAGUUGAGUAGUGGCUAUAGUACUUGGCCUGUGACCCUAUGUAUGUUCAACCUUCCUCCUUGGCUGUGCAUGAAGCGGAAGUUCAUUAUGAUGCCGGCGCUUAUCCAAGGCCCAAAACAACCCGGCAAGGGAUAUGGAACAGAGGAGUUGAUCGAGUUUUGUGUUGAUUUUAUUGACUCAAUUGACUCGAUUGGGGUUCCAACUUCACGCCACGAGGGGAGGCUCCGGGGAAUGGGCACCCUUGGAAGGAAAUCAAGUUUGAGCAAUGAUACUGAUUUGUUCGACAAGGCACACUACACUGUUCUGCAAUAGUCAUCCUUUGUGUCUCCCUAUAUCGAGCAGCACAGGCAGAUGGUAGUUUUCCAAAAACCUGACGAAAUCCGAUGCUUGGCUUACACAUCAUCACAUGGAAACUUUUUCCUCCUGGUUGCGCCAACAACUCAUGGGUAACUCUGAGAUUUACCUACAGCUCGCUUGGUUAGCCAGGGGACCUGCUAGCACAAUCGUGAAAUUUCAAGACUAUGAGAUAAAUGGUUAUACAUUUUACACGAGAGCCUAGGACCAGAAAAGCACGAACCAGAAUAGUGGUGUCCGCAUAGAUGCCAUAGAUAGAAAUAAUAACAAGGAGUCGUAUUAUGGUUUCAUACAGGAGAUAUGGGAACUCGAAUACGGACCGCUGUACAUCCCUGUAUUUCUUUGCAAUUGGGUGAAGCUAACUGCCGUAACCAAAGAUCAGUACGGAAUGACAAUAGUAGAUCUGAGCAAGACUGGAUACAGUGAUGACCCAUUCGUACUUGCGAAUGAUGUGCAUCAGGUUUUCUAUGUGAAGGACAUGUCUAGCAAACCCAAGAGAAAUCCAGAAGAGACAUGGGAGCCAAAGUGCCACAUAGUUCUUCCAGGUAAAAGAAAAUCAUUGGAGUCGAGGAUAAAAUAGACGAAUCAGAUGAUUAUGAUCAGUUUGAUGGCAUGCCUCCAUUCGCAGUUGAAGUUGACCCAAGCAUCCUGGUAUCCAAAGAAGAGGCUCCAUACUUACGCCGCGAUCAUGAUCAAGGAACUUUCGUGAAGAAGAAAUUUUACAACGUUGUAUUGUAAUGCGCUAAAUUUACUUGACCUUUGUGAAGUACUUGAUACAAUUUUUAAUUUAACCUAUGUAUGAUUUCAUGUGUUCUUAAAUUUGUUGAGGUGAAGAUUUAUUAGAUAAACAUGAACAAUGUUAACCACACACAUACAUGGAUUAUUUUUGCGCGUUGAAAUUAUUUAAUUGAAUAAUUUCUCGAUCAUUGCGAUGCAGUAAAAUAAUUAUUUUAGAGGCUAAACGAACUGGUAUAGAAUUAAUGACUAAUUCACACUUAUUGUCAAUAUACUUGCUAAUUAAAUAUAUUUUUGCAUAUUCAAAAUAUGUGAAUUUUUUUGUUUUUGCAUCCUGAAAUGCAGUGAAAACAUACAUAAAAUCCUUUUCCAAAAAAUAGGCGGGAGAUGAAAGUGUGGGAAAAGGCACUUUUGUCCCGGGUGCCAAUAGAAACCGGGACAAAAGGACCUUUUAUCCCUGUUGCCAAAAGCAACCGGGAUCAAAGGCCGUCCCUUUUGUCUCGGGUGCCAACGCCAACCGGGACAAAAGGCCCCCUUUUUAUCCCGGUUGACAACUACAACCGGGAUAAAAGGGUAGUUUUCGUUUCCCGCUGGGGACGUACCCUUUUAUCCAGGUUACAGUUAGCAACCGGGAUAAAAGGGGGGGCCCUUUUGUCCCGGUUGGUGUUGGCACCCGGGAUAAAAGGGCCUUUAGUCCCGGGUUCAAUUACGAACCGCGAUAAAAGGGGGGAGGGAUAAAAGGCACUGUAGCCUCUUCUACCACCACCCCACGCUAGUUACGACACUUAGCCAAAUUUUCACCGCUGCCAAGAUCCCGCGCCCUUCCGCCAGCUCCGUCACCGCCCAUCCGCCUCCCUCGCCGGCCGCCGUCGUCCUCGUCGUCCAUCGCCCCGGCCAUCAUCGUCCCGCCGCCCGACCGCCUCGCCCGCGCCCAGACCACCUCCUCCUCCAUCGCCCCGGCCCGCCUCCGAUCCUCCUCCGUCGUGCCCCCUCGACCUCGUCGCAGCCGGCCGCCUCCAUCGCGGGGCCUCGUCCCCGCCUCAGUCAACGCCACAUUCUCUGUCGCCGCCUCAUCACCGCCUCUGUCGCGCGCGCCGCCUCCGUCCCUCGUCGCCGUCCGCCUCCGCCCGUUGUUGCUGUGGCCACCUCGCUCCGUCCCCGCCUCCGCCGUCCCACCGCCCCGGCCGCCGCCGUCCCGCCGUCCCGGCCAUCUCGUCGCCCAGCUAGGCACCGCGUGAGGUCCGCCGGCACUGGCACCGGGAAUGAACAGCUCUUGCUGACGCAAACCCACCGGCUUGCGUAAGCAAGGACCUUUUUUAUUUUUUAGUUAGAAAAUGAAUAGAUAUUAGUAGAUUAGUUAGAAAAUCAAUAGAUAUUUGUAGAUUAGUUAGAAAAUCAAUAGAAAAUCAGUUGAUAAAUUUUGUAGAAAUUCAUUCAAAUUAGUAGGAAUUAGUUGUAAUUUGCUAGAAAUUCCAAUAAAUAUGUUGAAAUUAGUAGAAAUUUGGUAGAAAUUCUUACAAAGUACUACUAAUUUGUUGAAAUUUGUAUAAACAUUCCGAACUUUGUGGGAUUCAUGUUAUUGUAAAAUUAUUAGGCAUUAGUAGAAAUUUUGUAGAAAUUCCAAUAAAUAUGUAGAAAUUAGUAGAAAUUUUGUAGAAAUUCAUACAAAGUACUACUAAUUUGUUGAAAUUUGUAUAAACAUCUUGGAUCAGCGCUUGGUUUGUUGAAAUUUGUAUAAACAUCUCGGAUCAGCGCUUGGGUUGUGUAAGUGUCCGUUUAUCUACAUGUAAAUUUUGCCUCAUAUCAUUAUUUUUUUUGCGUGCGUCACCGUACUAACUUCGUCUUCCAUUUUAUGUAGCAUGCUAAUUCAGACGUGCCGACGAGAGGCGUACCUACAUAUUGGCUUCAUGGGUCCAUCCGUAGUUAACCAAAAACAGAUACAAUUAUCGCCGGAAAAAACCUUGGUGGAAGUAUACAAUUUCCUAGACAAACAAAAAUUCAAGGAUUUCAUACUACUUCCAUACAACUUCAGGUAAGUGUGUGUAUACCGUCUACUUUCGUUGUCUUUUUCCUUACCUGAUUAAUUAGUUAGCUCUAAUAUGCAUGAACAUUUUACGUACGCAGCUUCCACUGGAUCCUUAUUAUAAUUGAGCUUGAAAGAAGCCACGUCACUGUCUUCGAUUCGUUGAGGAAAGAUCCGGUGGAGUACCAAGACAUGCAAGACAUGCUAGGCUUGUAAUAAUUUUGGACCUUUAUCUCUAUGCAAAAGUUUGUUUCCUAAAUUUUAUCCCUGUUACACUAUAUCAUUCAUUAUUCUAAUCCGCAGCGCAUGGAAACAAUUCAUAAGGACACACAAAGGUCCAUUCAAAGAAAAACUUACAUGGAACACAGACUUCCUGGUACGUAUGAAGUCUGCACAUUUAGUACAUUGUAUAACACGAAUAUUUCAUAACUUAUUUUUUUCGACACUGAAGUGCUUAAGACAGGAACUCGGGAAUAAUCUAUGUGGCUACUACAUCUGUGAGCACAUGCACAUUUUUAUGGGACCCAAGGGACUAAAGAUGACGCCGCACAACUUUAAAGUACGUAAAAUAAAACUAUUACUAGUUAAUUAUUUUCUAGCUCCUUAUAUUUAAUUGUUCGUGUAACAUUCACAAAUUUCCAAAUUAUAGAUGUUAAAUAUUCAACAAGGACUCUUGAAGAAAAAAAAGGGUAGCGGCAAUAUGUGAAGGUCUCGUUGGAUUCCUAAUGGACGAGGUGGUAAAUCCACAGGGAGAAUUUUAUUACGAUGGACGACAAUUAGACGCUCCGAGCAACACCUCGACGGGAAGAUUGUAGAUAUAUAGUUUGAUUUGUAUACAUAACACGCGCUAAGAUCGAUUUGUAUAUAUAGGUGAUUUCAUUAUACUAGUUGAAUUGUGUAUAUGAAUUGCGUAUAUAUAGUAAUUGUAUAAUUACAAAUUUCAUUCGUUUAAAUACUAGUUGAUUUCAUUAUAAAAAAAGUCUCAACUACUAAAGGUUAACAAAAGGGCCGCGGUACUACGUACGUGAUGCAUGAAAAUUUAAGAUGCCAUGCAGGAAAAUUUAAAUAGGACUUUAGUCCCGGUUGGGAAACCCAACCGGGACUAAAGGGGCACCCUUUACUCCCGGUUGCUUUUCCCAACCGGGAGUAAAGGGCCUGUCCCGCGCCAACCGGGACUAAAGGGUGACCUUUACUCCCGGUUGAAGGACCCGGGACUAAAGACCCCCCCUUUUGUCCCGGUUGGUUUAUCCCGGAUGGAUUUUCGAGAGAUAUGCACCCUACCAACCGGGACUAAAGGCGAGUUCUCUACUAGUGUAGGCCAUGCAGCCGGCUCUGUGGUACCAAAAAGAAAUUUUUGACAUGGUUUACAUCGAGAACGUUUUGAAACUAGACUUUGGUACGCAGUUCACCUUCUUAACAAUAACGGCGUACAUAGACGCUAUCUAAAUUGACCACUUUAAGAUUUAGCGAGAGAUCUAUUUUUUUAAUCCCGUAGCGAGAUCUAUUUUUAUAAUCGCGUAGCGACUGUACGAAGGACUGAAAAAUAAGUUUGAUUACCGUAUAUAGUUAGCCAACUCGUUAAUGGAAUAAACGAUAGAGUUCUGCGAGGCAGACUAGCCUUUCACACGCACCAACUGAACCAGCUGGCAUGAUGUAUUUGAUCUUACUCCCUUGGUCCCAUGGAAAGGUAGAAAUAACCAUAUAUAGGCAUGUAAUUAUCAGUUAUACUUAUGGGAUACUUAGAUGACUUGAUGUAUGAAUCAAGAAAAUGCAUCGAUCGAGAACUUACGGGGAUCAUCUCAAUAAUUUAGAGACCAUGCGCAUAUAUAUUGUGGAAGGUGUGCGUGAGGGUCGUUAUCUAUAUCCUGUGUUAGAAAAAGAUUGCAUAUAUAGUUAAUGUUUGUCUUUCUUCGGAUGGCACGUUAGCUGACCAUUGACAACAUGUGAUGAUUUUACUAACAUCAAAAUUAGGCAUGCCCCAUUUUUUAAUUGGUGCAUGGAGUGGGAGGUUUUGGUGGGUGAGCAUUGGUGUGCAACUCGUGUGCGUGAGCAUGUGUGCGUAAGAUAAUGUGUUUUGUUAGAAAAAGAAGAUAAUGCCUCUAAACAAUCCAGAAUAGAAGGCGGGCCCUGACGACAAGAUAAUACCUUACGCGGCGAUGUCUCAACGUGUCACCUGGGGCGGCUUUUGCAGUUUCCCCGUACACACACUAAGAGCCUCCGACCCUUUUUUGUCAAACCUUCUCUUGUAGUCAUGCAUAUAUCCAUGAUGAUUUGAGUCUACUGAUUGACAGUUAGAUAUUUUGCUUGUUUGUGAGAAUUUUUAGUUUCUAUUUUUUUAGAGUGUCCACCUAGGAUCCUAGGUGGCUUCACCUGAAAGCUUCAAAAGAAGCGUCCAAAUUAGUAAUCAUAAGAUUUUCUCAAAAGAGACUUAAUUCUACCACUAUACCUUGAUUGGCGGCCCGAGCCUCUACCUUUGUCUCCACUUGACUAUUUGAGUUGGCUCAGAACGGUUCACCGCGCUAGCAACGUUACGUUUGAUCCCAAUGCCACCACUCAUGUGCGCCACCUGUAUUCUACCAAGUGGCAUGUGGUAAUGCCAUGUUUGUUUUAAUUUCGUCCAUCAGCAUUCACAAUGAUAUCAUCACCAUUAUGUAAUUAUCCCACUUUUAAUUUUCUUGCAACUCUGUGAAGUUAACAGUCUCUGAUCAAGUUUCCGAGGAUUGCUAUAUCUUUGUUUAUUAUCUACGGAAGUUGACAGCACAUCCACCAUAAUUCAUGGCCCACCAGACUCUAAGUCCACUGCGAGUAUAUAUUAAUUUGUUUUAAUCCGACUAUACUAGAUGUGUACCAAUCAUUCGAUAUGAGGGACGAACUAAUUGUUUCUUGUCGACUAUUGCACCGUACCUCUCGUUUUCCAAACAAUUAAAAGGUACCCUUCCGUGAUGGUUGUACCGAUACCGACUAUCUAUAUUAUUGCUUUCUUGAGCAUACCAAACGAGUUAAUUGGUAUGAUGAUGUUAUAGCUCAUUUAUAUAUGCUUAAAUACAUACACCGGUAGAAAACUCGCCUUUAGUCUCGGUUGGUACGUGUUAGACACCUAAUCCUUGCAUUGAUGGCUAAUCCUUCCAGCUUUUGUCUUCACGCACGCAUGCAUUGAUAGCCUCCUGCGGAUGGCCUUUCAGCUACUGCGCCGUUCAACUUCUGUGGCCUGUCCGGCUUCUUCCUUUCCCCAUAUAAUGUAAUACGUUCAACUCAAAUGAAUGAAAUCAAAUUAUGCGUGUAUUAUUCUCGCUUUCAGUAGGGGCCAAAUCUCCCGAAAAUCCAUCCGGGAUAAAGAUGAGAAAUUAAUCCAUGCGUGGCUUCAUGCAAAUUUGUUCAGAUCAGGUUUGAACAGCAUGUAAUCUUUUUCAGGCAUCUAUAUGGAGCGUGGGGGUGUUAUGUUAUCUUCUACUACACAUAUAACAUUAAAUUCAUUCAGUUUGGCUGAGAGCCCAAAAUGCAACGAAUAUGCCAUCCAACGUGAAAAAAAGAUGUGGAACAGUAUACUCUAUCUUCGAAAUUAAUUAACGAGAUUCAGCUUCAAAAGAGAUAAGAGCAGACAAGAGGCACAUGGGUGCAUGCAUCCACACCUUGGGAUGCUGCAAAAUUUGGGAUCACGUGUGCGGAUCCCUAAUUAGGAAAAAAGAAUAAUUGUGCUAGCAAAAUGUGGAACACGACUGCCGGCCCAGUUGGCGCUAAGACAUCGUACGUGCAUUAAGUCUGAGGUGCCCAACGAUCUCUUUCUUUAACUCAUGCUUGACUGUGACGGUGCUAUUAUAUAAUAUUGCAUGAUCAUCAUGAUAAGAUCGUAUAGUGACUGAGUGAGACAUGUACUAUAACUUACAUUUAAGCCUCGAACUGUGUGUCGUUACGUGAGCUGCCUCCUCUCCUCGCCUCUGAAUUAUUGAACCGUUUCCAACAGUGUUGGUCUCGACGAAAUUUGACACCAACCAGAUUUAUGAAGAAAAGAGAAUAAUACUUGGAAUUGGGAAAAGUUGAUCUCUCUUUACAAUGGGUAGGUGCUCCCCUUUUAUAGUGACCCAUGAGCCACUUUACAUUCCGAAAAUAUCCUUUCUCAACCACUACAUUCCUAGGAUAUGCCGUACAAAUUGAACUCUUCCACGUGGUCACAUUUCUCACGCCUCCUGUUUUCCAACCUCGAGACUUCAUCUUCACGCCAAGUUGAUCAUCUAGCCUCGAGGCUCCAUCCACGAUCCGGAAUGAAGGUCCAGCCUCGAGGCUCCUGCUUGUUAGAAGAACCGUCGUAUGAGACGAGGAUUGUAUCUUAGAGAUAAGAGUUGUUAUGGUUUGAGUUGGCCGGCUAGUAGAUAGAGAUAGAAUCUUGAUGUAUUUGAAUGCUGGCUAAACUUUAUCUAUAACAACAUGCAUUGUAAUCUGUUGGGACUUUCCCCCUAUAUAAACAUGCAACCACGGCGAGCCAAGAUAGGGCAACCGUGUUCAACUCUUUUGACAUGGUAAUCAGAGCCCUUCUUCCAUAAAAUACAUCUACAUCUACACCACCUGGCGCACGCCACCUUGUUGCCUGGCACACGUCAUCACCUUGCAUGCAACAGUCAUGGUGUCAUCAUCGUCAUCGUCAGCCACUGCACCCACGGCGGCGCAGCUUGGAGCUCCUGUAGCUGAAAAGCUUACAGGGGAGAAUUAUGUCUUAUGGAGGGCUCAAUUCUUGCCUGCUGUGCGGGGCGCGCAGCUCAUGGGAGUCCUCAACGGAUCUGUCAAGGAGCCCGGCCAAGACCAUGGAACUGGUGAAGGCUGACGGCAAGAAAGGGUAGCAUGACUUCAUCAACUUACUACACCAAGAUGGUGGCUAUCAAAGAUGAGUUGGCGGCAGUAGAAGUCAUUAUUGACGAUGGUGAGAUGGCAUCUUACAUACUUAAUGGUCUUGAUUUCGAAUAUAAUCCGUUUGUGUCCUCGAUGCUUGGCUGUGCUGAUUCCCUCUCUCUUUCCGAUCUAUACUCUCAUCUGUUGUUUUAUGAGAUGCGCCUGGAAGCAUAUAAUGAAGCGGGACAAUAUACAUCUUGGGCAAACUCAUCUUCUCGUGGAGGAUUUCGGGGACACGGCAAUGGCGGUCGUGGCAAUGGAGGGCGCAAUUGAGGGCGCACCAACGGUGGCCGUGGCCAGAACCGUGGUGGCCAGAACAACAGCAACAGUAGCAGUCAGCCCAAGAAAGUAAUCUGUCAAAUCUGCAAGAAUGUAUGUCCAUGAAGCACCAAGAUUCUGGUAUAGAUACGACGAAGAUGAGCAAGAAAAGGUUGCCGGCACAACAGCUACAAGCUAUGGUUAUGAUACUAACUGGUAUACAGACAGUGGCGCAACCGACCACAUUACUGGCGAGCUUGACAAGUUGACCGUCAAGGACAAGUAUAAUGGUCGAGAUCAAGUACAGGCUGCUAACGGUCCAGGUAUGAAAAUUAGUAAUAUUGAUCAUUCAACUUUACAUAUGCUGGGUAGAAAAUUGCAUCUAAACAAUAUCCUUCAUGUUCCUAUUGCUCACAAAAAUCUUGUUUCCAUCCAUAAAUUAGCUUCCGAUAACAAUGCCUUCCAUGAAUUUCAUCCAAAAUUCUUUUUCAUUAAGGCCCUAUUUGGCAUGGCUCCAACUCUAGGUGGAGCUACUCUACUCCAAAAAUCCAGGUGGAGCCAGCUUUGGGUGGAGUUGGAACUGUCUAGAUGGGGUGUUUGGCUAGAAGAGUGCAUCAGCUCCAAAAAAGACCGAUCUCAGUGUGGAUUGCCAUUGUUGCCCCAAAUUCAAGCCCCACUUUUCAUCCUCUAUAUCCCCAUCUUCUUCUUCCUCAGAAGGCGUGGAUGCAUGGAGAGAAAUCAAAUCGACUCGGCAUUAGAGCGGCGAGAUUUGGACGCGAUCGAUCAAAAUCAAUCGAUUAAAAAAAAAUCUCUCACCGCCACCAGGCUUGGGCGGCGCUGCGAAUGAUAGAGUGGCCGAGGCCACGGGCGCUGGGGAGUACGCGGCAGGCGCCUGCACCAUCGGCAGCAGCGUCAUGUUGGACACCUUGGCCGGCGCGUCCGGGUCCUCCGCGUCAGCAUCGUCAUUCUUGCCGGCUGCCGUCACCGCAUGCCGAUGCCCCAGCCUCUCAGCACCGACACGUCGUCGACUCCACUUCCUGGAAUGCCAUGCCCCCGGCCACGAUCGCCGCGCGCCAAAGUGAUCGUGGCUUUUCUAACAACCAUAUCGUAAUCAUAGGAUCUUCUCAGCGCAAAACUGUGCAGCUCCUUGCCUUUCUUUAGCAGAGCAAGUCCUGCACAAGCCCGCAGCAAGACCAACAUGCACUACUAGAGAAUUGACUUUCAAUCCCCCCCUUUUAGUCUCAAUUUAAUGUAGGCCCGAGAGAAAAGGGGGUGCGCUACGGUAGGCUGGAAUGGGGCGCACCUUUAGUCCCGGUUCAUGUUUAAAACCGGUACUAAAGCCCCCCUUUUGUCCUGAUUUGAGCGGCUAGAUUUUUGCCACCGACAGUGCCCCCCCUUUUGUCCCGGUUGGAGCCACCAACUGGGACAAAAACCUCGCCCUUUUUUUCUGGUUGGCAUUACCAACCGGGAUAAAAAGUUUACUCCUGGUUGGUAACUCAAACCGGGACAAAAGGUUGGCAUUUUCAUCCCGGUUGGAGCCACCAACCGGGAGUAAACACGAACCGGGACAAAAGAGCCAUACUUUUGUCCCGGUUUGGUUUACCAACCGGGAGAAAAUCUUUUCCCCCUUAAAGCUGCUUUCUUCCUCCUCCACUCGUCCAGCCCGAGCCACUCCACUCCACAAAGAUAGAGAAGCUCCAUCCUCUCCAUGGCGCCGAAGCAAGCCUAGGGGAGGUGCUGCCGAAUUUUUUUUCCUCAUUUUGUUGGGGACUUCACUCAUCCAAAGUGUUGUGAAGGUUAGCUACUUCAUUCUCUAUUCAUUUAUUAUUGUUAUGCUUUGUUUUAUACUUUAGAGUGGGAGAAGAAUGAGUUUGCUUGUUAGAAAGAGGGAGAAUGGAGAGGAUUUGUAUUUAUACAUGUUUUUGAGAUACAAUGUGAUGGAUAAUUUGAAUGUGAGGGAGAAUGGAGAGUAAAUGUGAGGUAGAAUGGAGAGGAUUUCAAUUUUAAGUAUUCGGAAAAACUAGAGUAAAUGUGUUUUUAAUCUUUAUACAUUAGCCAUAAAAUUAAGGUAAAUAAAUUGUAGGUGUAAUUUCAUAGUUUAGUACUUUUUAGAUAGAGUUAUGUAAUUAGCCAUUUUUAGAAUAUGUAAAUUAUGUGGGAAAUAUUGAAUUUUUUUAAUAGUUUAGUUAUUUGCAAAUAUGAGCUAAAUAAUUUGUGGUACAUAGAGAUGGCUUCUGCUGCUGGAGGUAGUGGCGAUGGUGGGGGAGAUCUUCAUUCCUCUUGCGGCAAGGGGAAAACUGUAGUUGGCCCUCACGAUAAGCCGAAGAAAAUGAGCGCGUGGGAGAAAGCAGUGCUUCGUUAUUUGCGAAGAUGUCAUGAAGAUGCUAUUGCGGCGGGUCAGGAACCUCCUUUUGGUGGUCGUUAUGCUCCACCGCCAUUCCCGGGUGUUUUAGGUCCACUUAUUAGUACUACUGUUGCAGGAGGUAUAGAUAAACCAUAUGAUAAGGCUGCGUCAGCGAAACCUUCAUCUUCGCCGCCCAAGGAUGCUUGAAAUCCUUCUAGAUAGUACUAAGUGGAUGGUUUGUCGUAGUGUAUCAUGUUGUUGUUGCUCUCAAAUUUAAAUUUGUGUAUUUCUACGUAAACUUUCAGCAACAUUUGAGUUUGUUGUAGUGUAUCAUGUUGUUUGGGUCUGAAAUUUUAAUGUGUAUUUCUAUCUAAAAUUUCAGCAAUGUGAUGGAUAGUUUGAUUGUAAUCCAUUUUAUUGACGGCUUGCGUAAUACGAUGCAGAUGGACCGGCAAUGGAUGUAUAAUGCAGACAGACGAACCAAGGUGUUUAUUGAUGGCUUGCAUAAUUUUCUCGAAGUGGCCAAAGCGAACAAGCUAGAGAACGGGUUCAUAUGUUGUCCAUGCACCCAAUGCGGUAACAACAAGGACUAUUCAAAGGCUGUCUAGGGGACUAUUCCCAGCCACUUGUUUAGAUACGGUUUCACACCUAACUAUUUGGUUUGGACCAAGCACGGUGAAAGAGGGGUUGUAAUGGAAGACGACGAAGAGGAGGAGGAUGAUGACAACAUUCCGGACUGGGGUGCAGGUCAAGCUUUUGCAGAUACUACAAUGGGCGAGGCUGAUGAAGAUGAGUUUGCAAAAGAUGGCCCUACUGAUGACCUCGGUCAGGUGCUAAGGGAUGCACCCAGAGAUUGCGAAACUGACAAGAAAGAAGCAAAGUUGCAGCGCGUGAUAGAUGAUCACCUAAAAUUGUUGUACGCAGAUUGCCAACAGGACCAUAAAAAACUGGGUACCACACUAGAAUUUAUGCAAUGGAAGGCUAAAAAUGGUGUGUCCCAUAAAGCAUUUUAGGGGAUGUUGGAAAUUGUCAAGAAGAUUUUUCCCGAGAAUAAUGAAUUGCCAUCCACAACAUAUGAAGCUAAACGGAUUGUUUUCCCUCUUUGAUUGGAGGUUCAGAAGAUACAUGCAUGCCCUAAUGAUUGUAUCCUCUAUCGCAGUGCUGAAUAUGAGGAUCUGGAUGCUUGCCCUGUGUGCGAAGCACUGUGGUAUAAGAUCAGGCGAGAUGAUCCUGGUAAUGUCGAGGGGCAACAUCCCAGGAAGAGAGUUGCCACGAAAGUGCUAUGGUAUUUCCCAGGAAGAGAGUUCCCACAUUUUGUACAAUAUUCUAUAUCACGAAUAUUUCAUAACUUGUUUGUUUCCCCACUGAAGUGCUUAAGACAGGAACACGGGAACGAUCUAUGUGGCUACUAUGUCUGUGAAAACAUGGAAAGUUUUGUAGACUUGGUCACAUACACUUGGUCCCACCCGUGAUACGAGCAGCCCAACAGCACAGUGUUCCAUGUCAGCAAGCUGGGCUCUAGCCCCGAUCUUGCCAUGCGCUUCGCGAGCUCCAGUGCGUUGUCGACAAGCCUGAGCCGCGUGCAGCACAUGAGCACCGCGUUCCACAUGACCGCCGUGGCCUCCGUCGUCUCAGCACCCAUGUGGCCACAGCGACGUCCGCGUUCUCGACGUACAUGGUGGCGAGGAACCCAGGAACGAGCGGGUGCGCGUCUACGUGGUGGGGAGCGUGGCAGUGGCAGCUUUGCUCGAUCUGGCAGCCGGAGAGUGGGACGAGACCACCACGGGGGAGACGGUCGGUGGUGGUGGCGGUGGCAAUGGGAGGAAGGCCUUGGAGAUCAAGGGAUCCAAGGUCCCCUUCCAAGAGAGAAGGGAGAUCGGGGGAGGAGACCGAUGGAGGGGAGGCGGGAGGGAGGAUGGUCGGCAGCGGGGGUAAGGAGAAAGAACAGGCGCGCGGGAGGGAGUCACGGUGCCGGAGACUCGGGAGAAAAGAAGCGAAUCAUUUUUGUGUAACUAGUGGUAUUGGUAGGUAAUUACCCACCAACUCCACGAGGAGGUUCAUAUUGGGUAGUUUUGGAGUUGCAAAAGAGGUGCUCCAAAACUCCACCCCCAUUUGCACUACAGCUCCAUGGAGUUUUGGAGUUGGGGUGUGUUGGCUGUAAAAUUGGCUAGAGUUGCUGGAGGUCAGCUCCAGAGCCAUGCCAAACACGCCCUAAGGAUCAGGAAACGAGGAAAAUCCUUCAUCAAGGUAGAUGCAAAGCAGGCCUUUAUCCAUUAGAAUCCAUCUUGUCAGAAGAAGGCGAUGACAAGAGAGUUUAUGGUGCCAUCAAACCAUCUGCUUCUAGAUGGCAUAGCCGCUUAGGCCAUCCAGCUUAUCCUAUUAUUCAGCGUGUGCUUAAUCAUAAUAAUCUUCCUUGUGGUAGUACUAAUUUUGAGUCAGUUUGUGAUUCAUGUCAAAUGGCUAAAAGCCAUCAACUUCCAUAUUCUAGUUCAAUAAAUUCGUCAAAAGCUUCGCUUGAUCUUAUUCAUUCUGAUGUUUGGGGGCUUACACCUAAUUCUGUUGGUCGAUAUUCCUACUAUGUGAGCUUUAUUGAUGAUUAUAGUAGGUUCACCUAGAUUUAUCUCCCGAAAAAGAAAUUUGAUGUCUUUCAAGUGUUCAAAGAAUUUCAGAAUCUAGUGGAGCGAAAACACAAUAAGAAAACUGUAUCCAUGCAAACCAACUGGGGAGGCGAAUAUGAGAAGUUGAAUUCCUUCUUUCAGCAAAUUGGUAUAGCACAUCGCGUCUUAUGUCCUCAUGCCCACCAGCAAAAUGGCCUCGUCGAGAGAAAGCAUCGUCAUACUGUUGAAGUUGGUCUCGCUCUUCUCGCAAAUGCUUCAAUGCCUUUAAAAUUUUGGGAUCAAGCUUUUUUGACCGCCACUUAUCUCAUUAAUAUGCUUCCCAGUAAAAUUCUUAAUUUCGAUACUCCUAUAGAACACUUGCUCCAAGAAAAGCCUGAUUACAGCUCUCGUCGCAUUUUUGGGUGCGCUUGUUGGCCUAAUUUGCAACCCUAUAAUACUCGCAAGCUAGCUUUUCGUUCUGUUAAAUGCACCUUUCCUAGUUACAGUUUCAUGCAUAAAGGCUUCAAGUGCUUAGAUCCCUCUACCGGCAGAAUUUAUAUCUCCCGAGAUGUUGUUUUCGAUGAAUCGAUCUUUCCGUUUGCUCACUUACAUCCCAAUGCAGGCGCCCUUCUCAGUAAAGAGAUUCUUCUUUUACCUGACCAUCUUCGUAAUCCGGGGGAUGUAAGUUGCAUAGACAAUAUUACUAUACUACUGACCGUUUGCAUGAUAGUAAUGCGCAAGAUGUUUUUCAGGGGAAACUGUCACCGGGCUGGGCGCACGGUGACGCAGAAAAUCACGGCGGCACAUUCCAGGAGGAUUUGAUGCCAGGUGCCGACGGUCCAGGCGUUGACUCCCAGGGAGAUUCGGCGGCAGCAUCCGUUUUGCUCCCCUCCUUCCCAGCAGUGCCCAUGUCGUCGAAUACAUCUCCGACGCGUGGCUCCACGACAUGCCCAGCGCCCGCACCCGGCGCUCCUCCGUCGCCGCAUGGCCCCGCACUUGGCCAAUCGCCUGCGCCAGCCGCCGGGAGUCCGACGCGUGGGGGGGGACCCAUCUAUCACGCCAGACAGUCUCCCACCCGUGCCUGCUGCCCCGAGUCGUGCUAGCGCUGGAUCCUCUUCGGGAAGCGGAUCCGGUGUGGAAUCUAUGCCUGGUCAGGCCAGUUCUUUGGCGCUGGCUGCCCCUGCGCCGUCUAUUUCAGUGCCAAGACAACGGACACGGCUUCAAAGUGGGAUUACGAAACUUACAUAGUUCCAGGACAUGAUCAGGUAUGGGUUGUUCUUAGCUUCUGCGGAACCACAGGAUUUUCAUGAAACUCUAAAUGAUUAUAGAUGGAAAAAAGGCUAUGCAAGAUGAAUUUGAUGCUCUCAUUAGAAAUCAAACUUGGCACUUAGUUCCUGAAAUAAAGGGUAACAAUAUUAUUGAUUGCAAGUGGGUAUUCAAAAUCAAGAAAAAAUCAGAUGGUACCAUAGAUAGAUAUAAAGCAAGGCUAGUUGUAAAGGGUUUUCAGCAACGGUAUGGCAUUGAUUAUGAGGAUACUUUCAGUCCAGUGGUUAAGAUUGCAACUGUCAGGCUUGUCCUCUCAAUUGCUAUUUCGAAAGGGUGGUGUCCAAGAUAGUUAGAUGUAUAGAAUGUGUUUCUUCAUGGUGUUCUGGAAAAAGAAGUUUAUAUGAGGCAACCUGCAGGAUUUGAAAAAGGAGCUUUGCAUCUUGUGUGGAAAUUGGACAAGGCUAUCUACGGCUUGAAACAAGCCCCGCGAGCUUGGUAUGCUAAGUUAUGUUCCAAACUUAUUGCACUUGGAUUUGUUGCAUCUAUAUCAGACACUUCGUUAUUCAUCUAUCAAAGAUUGGGUGUCAUAAUUUAUAUGUUGAUUUAUGUUGAUGAUACAAUUGUGACAAGUUCAUCAAGUGAAGCUGUUACGACGUUGCUUGCUGAUCUCAAGAAGGAUUUUGCUCUAAAAGAUCUGGGGGACCUCAGUUACUUCCUGGGUAUUUAAAUUAAAAGAGAAAAGAAUACUCUGCUGCUAACACAAGAAAAGUAUGCAAAGGAGAUUUUGUCACGGGUUGGUAUGGAGAAUUGCAAACCAUCAUCUACACCAUUGUCUACUAGUGAGAAACUUUCAAAGUAUGAAGGGGAGUUGCUGAAUUCAAGCGAUAGUACGAGGUACAGAAGCGUCGUUGGUGCAUUGCAAUAUCUCACUCCUACCUGACCGGAUCUAGCAUUCUCUGUGAACAAAGUGUGUCAAUUUCUACAUGCUCCUACCACGGUUCAUUGGACUGCUGUAAAAAGGAUACUUCGGUAUGUCAAGUUCACAUUGGAUCUUGGACUAAAUUUUCAGGCGUCAUCCUCCACCUUGGUUAUUGCUUUCUGUGAUGCUGAUUGGGCAGGAAGUGUUGAUGAUAGAAGAUCUAUCGGAGGGUUUGCAGUUUUCUUUGGUCUGAACUUGAUUUCUUAGAGUGCUAGAAACCAAGCCACUAUCUCAAGAUCAAGUACAGAAGUUGAAUACAAGUCUAUGGCAAAUGCAACUGCAGAGUUAAUAUGGUUGGAAUCCUUGCUAAAGGAGCUGGGUAUACGGCUGCAUCAACCACCAUAUUUACAGUGUGACAAUUUGGGAGCUACAUAUUUGUCUGCCAAUCCAGUCUUUCAUGCGAGAGCAAAGCAUAUAGAAAUUGAUUUUCACUUUGUUCGCGAGCGUGUGGUAAAUAAAAAGCUGCAGGUGCUGUUGGUUGCUUCCAGAGACCAGCUUGCGGACUGUUUACCAAAGCCUUGCCGUGCGGAUUGCUGGAAGCUUUCAAGAGCAAUCUAAAUAUCAAAAGGAAGAGAAGUUUAGAUUGAGAGGGACUGUUAGAAGAACCGUCGUAUGAGACGAGGAUUGUAUCUUAGAGAUAAGAGUUGUUGGUUUGAGUUGGCCGGCUAGUAGAUAGACAUAGAAUCUUGAUGUAUUUGAAUGCUGGUUAACUCUAUCUGUAACAACAUGCAUUGUAAUCUCUUGGGACCUUCCCCCUAUAUAAACGUGCAACCACGGCGAGCCAAGAUAGGGCAACCGUGUUCAACUCUUUUGACACUGCUUCGUUAAGCUUUGUUGAGAACUCAUAAACUCACAUAGUUCUCCUCUGAGUAUUGUUCCUAACUAAAGAGUAAAAAGGUAAAAGCUCGGUGCCCGGAACCGACUCAGAACACUCGAGGCUUAACUUAGUUGGAGUUUAGCUAUUACCGUUGCCAGUGACCAGCCUCGAGCCCCUCUAGAAGCAAGGUGAUGUGAGGGUGCGAGUUUUACUAUAAGAGGUGUCCCCAUAGAACGUGCGAGGUUAAAGGUGUUCUGUUACUUUUCCUGCCGACGCAUAACUUGCAAGGUUAAGGGGUUUUUAUCCCACAAACGGUGCUCCAGGAUGUUCAGAUUUUUGGGAUCCCCAACAAACAUAAAUCUUGAGUGGCUCUAAAUUGUUGUUGGCCACAUCAUACCUUGUCUUGGGCUGCUGGGUCGUGUUGUGCACCACGAGUGCACGAUCAGACAUCCUGCAUUGUUAAGUCUUCGAUGAUACGGCUGCCUUGCUUCCUCAGCUUGUCAGCAACUGCUUCCUGACUGCUACAGUACAAUUAUUGCAUGGUAUCAAGGUAAUAUAUAUAGUGACUGAAUGAGCACAUAUAACAUAUGCAUUUAGGCCUCCAACUGGUCAUUGCACGAGCUGCCUCCUCUCCUUACCUCUGAAUUAUGGAGCCAUAUCCAACAACAACCUUGACAGUGAUGAUGAUGACGACGACGAUGAAAUUAAGAAAAGAAGCUUUAUGCAAAUUGCAAAAAGCUGAAAUAAGUGGUUGAAACAUUUCAAAUCACCAAAUGCCACAUUUGAAAUGACUAGAUGAAACAUCAUGAAAUCAAUUGCAACAGUUGAAGAUGAAAACAUUCAAACGCCUUGCCUUUCUCCAGAUUUGAUCCUCCAAGCAUAUAUGAGUCCAGACAUUUGCACAUUAGACCCUAGGGAGGAGCUCACCGGAGAACAACAAGACCGUGUUCUCCAACAAUUUUCCGAUCAAAUUGCAACAUAAAAAACAAAGCAUUGCAACACAUCUGGCAUCGCGAGCAACAACAUCAACCAGUUAGGAUCAGGAGAAAGAGGGCAAACCCAAGCCUAGCAAUGAGUUAUAUCCAGUUUAAACGAGGAUAAAAAUGAGUGUAUUUUCCACUCAUCAUGUUGUCUUUUCGCAGCUGUACCGCCUUUAGUGUGUUGUAUUGUUCCCCUAACACCAAGUCUCCGAGGCCCGAGAAAAUAAGGAAAGUGAUAGCAGCCCAGAAAUCGACCAAGUUUCUUUCCCCCUUUGGCAUUCCUACUAGAAUUCGGAAUACUCUUUCGCAUGACAAUCAUAAUUAUCUCCCACAAUCCAAAACUCACAAAAACAUCAAAAAUCUGCCGAGAAUAAAUUAAGUAAAAAACAUGCACAAACAGAUAAUAAUAAUAAUCAUGUUUCAAUAAAAUUGCUAAGGCCAGAGACAAUACAUAAACAUAUUAGACUGUUCAUGACACAUAUCACGGUGGACAGUGUCUGUGUCCUUAUUACAAGCAGCGAGAGGAAUUAAAUAUGCUUGUCACCACACACACGCGCGCGCAGAUGCACGACACACAUAUAGUUGAGACCAACAGAUGGACCUCGACUAGAGGUCGCCCCAUAUGGUGAACAAUUUAUUGGAGAUAAACAUGAACAUAACUUGGCCAUAGCUUGAAGCAUAGCAACAUAUGCCUAUGAAUGGCAUUCAUGCUGGUAGCAAUGCAAUCAUAUCGUUUUAGGCUUGUCCAGCUUCUUCCAUCUUAGCAAGCACUGCCAUUUCUUCCAUCUUAGCAGCAACUGUCAAAUUGAGAUAUGGAAAUCCCAUUAGCGCAUGAGUUAAUUUUGCAGUGGAAAUAGAGUACAAGAUGUCUUCAUGAUGUAAGUAAUAUGCCUGAAGUUGUGAGAUGGGAAGUGAAGUCAACAAAUUACAUUAACGGAAAUGCAUGGAAGGCCACACAUACGUAUUAGUCCACGAUAUGCUACAAAGCUUGUAUGUACAUAUAACAAAUUAAAUGCAUUGAAUAGAGUGAGUUUACUGAAUUUACCAGAAUCGGACAGAACACAUGGGAAACAGCAAGUGUUCUUGCAGAGUGAGUCGGAGCCACCUGCAGUAAUACAAGCAAAACAACAUGCUUUUGCCCGGGCGGAUACGCAGCAGCUGCACUGUGCCGCGGUGGCCGGGUUAACAUUGAGGCUCAAGAUGACCAGGCACAUGAUCACCAUCAAAGCGGUAGUCCUCUUUCCCUCCAUUGCCUCCUCUUUCUGCUACCUUCCUUGGUUACCUAGCUAAGUUUAUUAGUUUUGUGUUGAGAGGUGAUUCUUGAAUGGACGUUGCCGGCUGCAAUUUAUAGGCAGCUGCGCUAUGUGAUGAUAUGGACAAGGUGCAAAUGGGUGGUCCAAUGGCAAGGAAAGGGGGUAUUCUGCUUGACAUUGGCAUCAGACAAAGCCCAAUGGCAACUGCUGACACGCGAUUAAAAUCAGAUCCGCAUCUUAUCCAUCCAUUCACUAAUAAUUAAAGUAAACCCACGCGGUCCGCGAGAUGCAGCGUCCAUGCAUAGCACUUCCCGCCAAACAAUAGGAAAAAUUAGAAUUCAGAGAUAGGAGCUGCUUGCAUGAAACACGGUUGCACAGAAAUCAGUGGUGCUUGGACGGUAAGUAGUGUGGUGUACAAGCUUAAAGCGGCAGUGAGUCACGUUGGUGUAACAAGCAGUACAUCAGCUGGAAGAUUGAUAUGUCUAUUGCCCACGCAGCAUAGCAUUUUAUUAUGAUACAUUGAGUUAUGUCAUAUUGUUACUUUAAGUUAUUUUUUAAGUAUUAGUUGUAGACAAUUUAGUUGCAAAUUUAAGCGGUUAUUUUAAAUUAUUUUUUAUAAUGGCAUAAGUGGGUAAUUUAGAUGAAGAUUAGGGGGUUACUUUAGCUUAUUUUAUAUAAUAGCAGAGGUGGGUAAUUUAGAUAUAAAUUUAGGGUUACUUUAGGCUAUUUUCUUAAUGGCAUAGGUGGGUAAUUUUUUUAGAAAUUAUAAUAGAUCCAAUGGCUACGAUGUUUGAGUCUACUCGUUGAUGGCAAGAUGUUUUGCUUGUUUGUGGAAAUUUUAAAUAUGUCUCUUUUUUGUAGAGUGUCCACGUAGGAUCCUAGGUGGCUUCGCUUGGAGGCUUCAAAAGGAGGUCCAAAAUUAGUAAUAGUAUGAUUUUCUCAAAAGAGACUUAAUUCUACCACUGUAACUUGAUUGGCCGCCCCGGCCUCUACCUUUUGCCUCCAUUUGACUAUUUGAGUUGGCUGUGAACGAUUCUCGGCGCUAGCAACGUUACGUGUGAUCCAAAUGCCAGCACUCAUGUGCGCCACCUGUAUUCUAUGGGAAUGCCAUGAUGCAUGUGCAGUAACAGCGCGCACAUCUUGCAGGAUUCGCGCCUCGUUUUCACUAUUGUGUCAUCUUAGCAAUUAGGAGCGAAGUGUGCUUUGGGGUGGCAAUUGGGAUAUAGACAUUAUUCUCGAAAAGAAUCUUGAAGUCUUACAUUCACCCCCUCCGGUCGCCGGUUCCGAUCCUUCACCUAUAAAUUAGGAGUAGUAGUAGGUAGUAAGUGGCAGGUUAGGUAAGUACCCGUUGAUGAAUGUUGGCUUGGCGUGAUUGGCUCUGCUGGUUCCACGAAGAUGCCAAUAUACAGCAAGGACCUAGGUCCAAAGGGAAAAACAACCAACAAGUGGGUUUGUUGCCGACCGCUAGCUAAUCAACAGUGACGUACGGGUGGAUUCGUGCGUAAAUAUUUUUUCAAUCAUGCCAUCAGGCCGCUGAUAAAAUGGGCUUAUGGUUGGCUAACCUUUAAAACAUUCUUAGAGCUGUUGGCCAUUGUGAUAACUUUGCACGUGCAUCAUUAACAUGCCAACAUACAACAAGGACAUAAGACCAAAGGAAAGAACAACCAACAAGUGCCUUUGCUGAUCGGUCAGGUCUCAGAGUUUGAGAAACUGGAUCUGACGGAUGUGAAAUUAAUCCAUGCGUGGCCUCAUGCAAAUUUGUUCACAGGUUUGAACAGCAUGUAAUCUUUUUCAGGCAUCUAUAUGGAGCGUGGGUGUGUUAUGUUAUCUUCUACUACACAUAUAACAUCAAAUUCAUUCAGUUUGCCCGAGAGCCCAAAAUGCAACGAAUAUGCCAUCCAACGUGAAAAAAAAGAGAUGAGGAACAGUAUACUCUAUCUUCGAAAUUAGUCAACGAGAUGCAGCUUCAAAAGAGAUAAGAGCAGACAAGAGACACCAUGGGAUGCUGCAAAAUUUGGGAUCACGUGUGCAGAUCCCUUAUUAGGAAAAAAGAAUAAUUGAGCUAGCAACAAUAGUAGGACAUCUCCAUGCUCACCUAGUAUAGUAGCCACUUCUAGUGCGCGUGGAACACGACUGCCGGCCCAGUUGGCGCUAAGACAUCGUACGUGCAUUAAGUCUGAGGUGCUAGGACAGCUUCCUCUUGCUUCCCCACCAAAUCAUGAGCAACGAUCUCUUUCUUUCUAACUCAUGCUUGACUGUGACGGUGCUAUUAUAUAUUAUUGCAUGAUCAUCAAGAUAAGAUCGUAUAGUGACUGAGUGAGACAUCUAUGUACUAACUUGCAUUUAAGCCUCGAACUGUGUGUCAUUACGUGAGCUGCCUCCUGUCCUCGCCUCUGAAUUAUUGAACCGUUCCCAACAGCUUGGUCUCAAAGGAAUUUGACACCAAACAGAUUGAUAAAGAAAAGAGAAUAAUACUUGGAAUUGGAAAAAGUUGAUCUCUCUAUACAAUGAGGUAGGGCUCCCCUUUUAUAGUGACCCAUCAGCCACUUUACAUUCCGAAAAUGUCCUUCCUCAACCACUACAUUCUUAGGAUAUGCCAUACAUAAAUGUCAUUUGAGGUGACGUGUACAAAUUGAACUCUUCCACAUGGUCACGUUUCUCACGCCUCUUGUUUUCCAACCUCGAGACUUCAUCUUCAUGCCAAGUUGAUCAUCUAGCCUCGAGGCUCCAUCUACGAUCCGGAAUGAACGUACAGCCUCGAGGCUCCUGCUUCGUUAAGCUUUGUUGAGAACUCAUAACCUCACAUAGUUCUCCUCCGAGUAUUGUAUCUGACUAAAGAGUAAAAAGGUAAAAGCUCGGUGCCCGGAACCGACUGAGAACACUCGAGGCUUAGCUCAGUUGGAGUUUAGCUAUUACCGUUGCCAGUCACCAGCCUCGAGCCCCUCCAGAAACAAGGUGAUGCGAGAGUACGAGUUUUACUAUUAGAGGUGUCCCCAUAGAACGUGCGAGGUUAAUGAGUUCAGUUUCUUUUACUGCCGACGCAUAACAUGCGAGGAUCAACGAAUAUGAGGAACACUAUAUGCCAUCCAACGGGGGAAAAAAAAAGAUGAGGAACAGUAUACUCUAUCUUCGAAAUUAGUUAUAAAGAUUCAGCUUCAAAAGAGAUAACGAGGCGUCCAAGACUCGAGGAGCCAGUCAAGAGCAGACAAGAGGCACAUGAGUGCAUGCAUCCACACCUUGGGAUGCUGCAAACUUUUAUGAGGCUGCAAGCUGCAUACAUAAGUUUAUUUCACCUUUGUUCACAAUACUCUUCACACACCAUUCACACACGUCUCAGGGAGCUCUGCAGCAAUGGUGGAGAUCUUAGCUAGACUGCUCACUUCCCUUGUUGUCGCUAUUGCUAAAAACACAAGCUCACCUCUGCUAUUGCGAAGCAGACCAAUUUGCUGUGGAACUUUGGCGACGACCUGAAGGACAUGAAGUCGGUGCUGGAGUCCAUCUCAGCAGCGCUCCAGGACGCUGACACUGCUAGAAAAACAACCUUUCAUCCUCAACAAAAGUCCCGAUAGCUUUUUUACCUGGAACUAAAGAGGUUUUAGUGCUGCGCAAACACCUUUAGUCCGGGUUGCUGUUACCAACCAAGAGUAAAGGGUACGAUGGCACCAACCGGGACUAAAGCACCCCCCACGAGUUACUAUAAAGGAUUGCAUCCUCCACUUAGUCAGAUUUACUGUGUAGGUGAGAUGGUAAGGAAGCUAUGCGCGAGGCUUGAGAUCAUCGGUUCGAAUCCCACGCACCGCGCGCGCACGCGCAUAGUUUGAGUGAAAAAUCAUGUCACUUGUGAUCGGCCAAGGAGAAGUGGGUGCAGAUGUGGCUUAAGCGGCUGAGGCACGCCGCCAUAGACAUCUUGGAUUUGCUCGAAGACUACCAAGACACUAGUGAACCCUUAACAGCAAAGGUGAGUACUUAUGCAUGUCAACAUCUAUGUUGUCCAUGCUUCCAAUGCAAUAAGAAGAAGGACUACUCUUCCUAGCGGACUCUUCACAACCACUCAUAAAGCUAUGUGUUUCUCAAUGCAAUUUCGUAGAAGGCAAUGGAUCCAACCAACCGACUAAAUCAUUCGUCCUUGCCAAUGAUGUGCUUCAGGUUUUCCAUAUGAAGGACAUGUGACUACUAGAAAAACGAUCUUUCAUCCCUAGCCUUAGUACCGGUUGCAUUUGGAACCGGUACUAAUGUUUACAUUAGUACCAGUUCCAAAGGAUACUGUCCGGAGCGCACCUCGAUGACCCCUUUAGUACCGGUUGGGGGCAACAACCGGUACUAAAGGGUGAGCAUUAGUACCGGUUGUUACCUUAAUCCGGUACUAAAGGGCUACCCACCCUCUAUUACCGGUUGGUGGCAUCAACCGGUACUAAAAGGGAUACCCUCUAGCACCGGUUGCUGCCACAACCCGGUACUAGUGCGGCGCCAUGCAGAAUAGAAGGUAGAUCGAUUGUACAUGGAGGGGGAACAAAGGGAGAAAGGCAAAUCAUCAGCUUAUUAUCACAUGGUAGACUAGUCUUUAAAACAUGUUUAGGGCAGAGCACAUUACGUUUAUCUUGUUUUGCACAACAACAAAUGUGACCUUUAGAAGAUAGCCCUCCUCUAAUUAAACUAGUGCACUAUUACAGGAUGGUAUCGCACGCUUCCUUUUUCCCUAUGAAAAUGAAGUUUUUAAUGAUCUGAUAGCAGCUGGCAAAACAAAUGAUUGCAAAGAUGUUUGCAGAUGAUAAUGAUACUUAUGACCACUCUGAUGAUGAAGAGAUAGAGGAACAUUUGGUCCGUCAACGUAUUUCAAAUUAACACGUCAAAUCGCACUCAAGACCUCUCACCAACUCCUCCACCAGUUUCCAAAGGCAAAUCAACUUAUUAUCGCAUGCAUGGUAGUGUCUUUGAAACAUGUUUAGGGCACAACACAUUACGUUUAUCAUCUUUUGCACAACAUUAAAUGGACCUUUGGAAGAUAGCCCUCCUCUAAACUUGUGAUGCAUUGUAAUGAUAUGUCAUGUAUAUAUGUCUCACUUGUAUCAUAGCUGUUAAAGUACCACGUCAAAUUGCACUUGCGGUGAGAUCUCUCUGACCAAGUCCUCCACCACUUUCCAAGGCAAAUCAGACAAACUCCUUGUUAUAUUCCACAUAUUGGUUUCAUCCUUAUAUAGAUGUCCAUGUAUACUCUUUUGUUUGUCUACUCAACUUAUCACAUUGUCGUAGUGUCUUUGAAACAUGUUUAGGGAAAGUCCAUAGUGGAGGGUAGUAAAUGUCAAAGGGAGUUUGUAAGGAUAAGACAACACAAAUUUUGUAAGGGUAUUCUAAAGCAUUUGAUUCUAAACUAUCCGCGAGACCUCUCACAACCUCCUCCACCACUUUCCAAGAUAAUAUACAAUCAAAUUCCUUGUAGGAGUUUGGAUGUUGGACCAAUGGGAAGUUGACGAAAGAGUGGGACAAAAAUGUGACUCGAUCAUGUCAUUGUGGGCAAAGGUCCUGGUAGCUCAUGGAACAGAUCAUUUGAAGUACACAGGAUAGGGAGGCAAUAGUCGGCACAAGGAGAGGCAUGACCAGAAGCUUGAAAGAAGUAAACUUCAAAGCUAGGAGGAAUGUUAUUCUUGCUGGUUCAAUGUGUCUUCUUAUAGAUCAGUUCAUAGAUCUUAUGUAUUUGGCUGUGAUGAAAGCUAUGGAGCCCUCCCAGCCCCUUCGAGCUGAUGCUAAGCCCAAUCUAAACUGCAUAUGGAAUGUGAAAACUCUUUCUGCAAUGAGCCAAGCUAUCAAUCCAUACCUGUGAGGCAACAUCUCGAUUCUGUGGCUACUGACUGAGGUAUUUGGCAUAGAGUAGACCAAUGGUGCAUUGUGAAUAAGCUUAUUAGAAUGUGAAUAAGUCAGAAUUCUUGCUCGUCCUCCAUUUGUUCGCUCUCUGUUCUUUUGUUUACAAGGGACUCGGUUGAUCCGCGGGACCUCUCACCAACUCCUUCACCACUUUCCAAGGCAAAUCAGCUUAUCACAUGUGGUAGUAUCUUUGAAACAUGUUUAGGGCACAAGAGGAAGGCAUAGUGCUGGAAAAACGGUUAAUGGGGUGGCGGACGGCGGGAUGCUUCGCAUUCUCGUAUGAAGGAAGCUCCAUCAACUAGAUUGACGGUCAAGUUGCAUGAAGCAGAUGCCACAGUCGACGGAGAGAGCAUCUGGGUCUAACCAUAAUAACACAAGUCUUUCCUUUAGAUAACAUGCCAUCAGAUUCCUUGCAAGAGUUUGUAUGUUCGACCAACAGGAAGUUGACGAAAGAGUGGGACAAAAAUGUGACUCGAUCAUGUCAUUGUGGGCAAAGGUCCUAGUAGCUCAUGGAAUAGAUGAUAUCAUUUGAAGUACAUAGGACAGAGAGGCCAUAGUCGGCACAAGGAGAAGCAUGACCAGAAACUUGAAAGAGGUAAGCUUCAAAGCUAGGAGGAAUGUUAUUCUUGCUAGUUCAAUGGUGUCUUCUUAUAUAUCAGUUCAUAGAUCUUAUAUAUUUGGCCGUGAUGACAGCUAUGGAUCCCUCCGAGCCCCUUUGAGCCGAUGCCAAGCCCAAUCUGAACUGCACAUGGAACGUGAAAACUCUUUCUGCAAUGAGCCAAGCUAUCAAUAUCCAUCCCUGUGAGCCAACAUCUUGAUUCUGUGGCUACUGACUGAGGUAUUUGUCGUAGUGUCUUUGAAACAAGUCAAACACCUCACCAGGGGAUCAAGCUCCACGAGAACGAGAGCUACUUUCAGAUCCAGGAUAUUAAUCAACAAGUCAAACACCUUCCCAGGGGAUCAAGCUCCAUGAGAACGAGAGCUACUUUCAGUUCCAAGAUAUUAAUCAACAAGUCAAACACCUAACCAGGGGAUCAAGCUCCACGAGAACGAGAGCUACUUUCAGUUCUAGGAUAUGGGCAUAGCUGUGAGGGGGGCCACAACGCCCCUUUAUAUAAGGGCUACUGGUUUUGCCCUUGCCUUGUGAAGUUGUGCCACAUAACUCCCAAAAUCCCUCAAGAAAGAUAACACCACAAGCAGGAAGCCAAGUAGCUAUGGAACCUGUGACAGAUAUAGCUUCCUCAUUAUGUGACUCAUGUCAUUGUGGGUGCGGGGUGACCUUGAUCUACAACUUUGUAGUUGAAACAUUUUUCAUUUGGUGUCAUCUUGGUGCUCAAAUAAUCGACACGAACUAAAACUUGGCACCACACAUUCAAAAAAUAAUAAAAUUUAUAUGAACUCAGAUAUAGAUAAAAUUUAUAUCAAAAUUGUUGAUCUCAACGAGAUUUACAACUUUGUAGUUCAAAUUAUUUUCAUUUGGAGCCAUCUUGGUGCUCAAAUAAUCGAAACAUUUUCUAGAUCUAAAAUUUAAUUUUAGAUCGGAAACUUGUGUCGAUUAUUUGAGCACCAAGAUAAUACCAAAUGAAAAAUGUUUGAACUACAAAGUUGUAGAUCUCAUCGAGAUCUACAAUUUUCAUAUAAAGUUUAUCUCCAUCCGAGUUCAUAUGAAUUAGUUCAACCGGCGAUAAGGCUGCUACAGUGUAGCUUCCGCCGUUUCAAAUGGCGGUAUAGGUUUAGAUUAGCAAUUUUUGUAACCCAUAUAUUUUUGCAAAAUACUAAAAUAAAAAAUAUAAAAAUAAAAAAAAUCUAGUUUUAAUCAGCAAUGACUAAAUGUUAGCCCGGUUAUGCCCCAUCUUAGGUCUAAUCAUGGACCAAUAAAACAUGUGCUAGAAUUCAUGGCCACCGGAUGCGUGUUCGACCAUGUAAUCGUAUGCUAUACCUCACAGGAGGUUGAAAAUGGCCUGAAGGGGUACAGUGGAUGAAAACGUCGGGGACGCUCGGAACACAAGAAAAUGACCACCAGAUACAUGUUUGGCCAUUGUAACUGUGCUCUAUAGUUGAUAGGUUGAAAGCGGCUCGAAGAGGCAUCAGGGAUGGAAACAUGGGGGAUGGUUGGAACACUUGAAAAUGGCACUGGAUAAGUGUGCUUAUUCCUUACAAAAUGCUGAAAAUGGCUCAGAAGGGUCAUCGAGGAUGGAAACUAGGUGGUCAAUAAGUGAAAAUGGGCAGCGGACAUGUUCAGUCAUGUAACCGUGUGCUAUAGUCCACUAGAGGUCGGAAAGCUGCCCUAGGGGCUCUAGAGACGAAAACGUGAGGAAUAGCUGAAAGGUUACGUGUUUGGUCAUGACAGCCCUAUUAGGAAGCGAUAGAAGUGGAAAGAUAGCUGGUUUCAGAUUGGCAACCCAUCUUUUGCUUCCCCCUUACUUCCAUACGUAAUCCAUGGGCAUCGAAUUUAAAAGUAUACAAAUCACUUUUAGAUGUAAUUGAGGGUAAAGAGGGGAGGUUUCGUGAGACUCUACAAUGUUCAAAUCGUUCGUUCGUUAGGAUGCCUCAGCUACAUACAUCAUUGCACUUCCAGUUGACACCAAUUUAAAUGGUUCGUCUAGCCGCUACAAGGUAUCAUCAGAUAUAGAAGAAUUAGAGACUGGGGGUAAUAGCAAAAAAGGAAUAUAACUCGUCCGAGAAAGUGGGUGCAGGGGCAGUGGGGUAAGGUAAUUGAAGUAACUAGCCAGUUUCUUCCCGAAACUUCCCAAGAAAAAUCCCGAAUUGGAUCCAAAAUUGACGGAUUAAUCAACCAAAAUAACCGUGAGCAGCCACAAUGUUAUAAGUCCCUUCUUCUUGACCAAAUUUGUAACCCUUAUUAGCAGACUCAUUUUCAGUGGUUUCUUUCCCUGAUCAAACUAGAGGUUACCAAGGAACCGUGUGCUCUAGCCCACAGGUGGCCGAAAACGGCGAAGAAGGGCUUCGGGGAUGGAAACAACGUGGAUGGUCAGAACACGUGAGAAUGACCACGGGAUGCAUGUUUGGCCCUGUAACAGUGUGCUAUAGGAAGCCGGAAAUGGCCAGGAGGGUCACCAGGGAUGAAGAUGCAGGGAUGGAUGGAACACGCGAAAAUGGCCACCAGUGAUUAGUGGCAGGUCUACAGAGAUAUCUCAUCAAAUCGGUGAUUUAUAUCCGAUUUAAACGAGGAUAAAAAUGAGUGUAUUUUCCACCCAUCAUGUUGACUUUUCGCAGCUAUACUGCCUUUAGUGUGUUGUAUUGUUCCCAUGACACCAAGUCUCCAAGGCCCGAGAAAAUAAGGAAAGUGAUAGCAGCCUAGAAAUCGACCAAGUUUCUUUCCCCCUUUGGCAUUCCUACUAGGAUUCGGAAUACUCUUUCGCAUGACAAUCAUAAUUAUCUCCCAUAAUCCAAAACUCACAAAAACAUCAAAAAUCCGCCGAGAAUAAAUUAAGUAAAAAACAGGCACACAUAGAUAAUAAUAAUAAUAAUAAUAAUCAUGUUUCUAUAAAAUUGCUAAGGCCAGAGAUAAUACAUAAAAAUAUUAGACUGCUCAUGACACAUAUCACGGUGGACAAUGUCUGUGUCCUUAUUACAAGCAGCGAGAGGAAUUAAACAUGCUUGUCACCACACACACGAGCGCACAGAUGCACGACACACAUAUAGUUGAGACCAACAGAUGGACCUCGACUACAGGUCGCCCCAUAUGGUGAACAAUUUAUUGGAGAUAAACAUGAACAUAACUUGGCCAUAGCUUGAAGCAUAGCAACAUAUGCCUAUGAAUGGCAUUCAUGCUGGUAGCAAUGCAAUCAUAUCGUUUUAGGCCUGUCCAGCUUCUUCCAUCUUAGCAAGCACUGCCAUUUCUUCCAUCUUAGCAGCAACUGUCAAAUUGAGAUAUGGAAAUCCCAUUAGCGCAUGAGUUAAUUUUGCAGUGGAAAUAGAGUACAAGAUGUCUUCAUGAUGUAAGUAAUAUGCCUGAAGUUGUGAGAUGGGAAGUGAAGUCAACAAAUUACAUUAACGGAAAUGCAUGGAAGGCCACACAUACGUAUUAGUCCACGAUAUGCUACAAAGCUUGUAUGUACAUAUAACAAAUUAAAUGCAUUGAAUAGAGUGAGUUUACUGAAUUUACCAGAAUCGGACAGAACACAUGGGAAACAGCAAGUGUUCUUGCAGAGUGAGUCGGAGCCACCUGCAGUAAUACAAGCAAAACAACAUGCUUUUGCCCGGGCGGAUACGCAGCAGCUGCACUGUGCCGCGGUGGCCGGGUUAACAUUGAGGCUCAAGAUGACCAGGCACAUGAUCACCAUCAAAGCGGUAGUCCUCUUUCCCUCCAUUGCCUCCUCUUUCUGCUACCUUCCUUGGUUACCUAGCUAAGUUUAUUGGUUUUGUGUUGAGAGGUGAUUCUUGAAUGGACGUUGCCGGCUGCAAUUUAUAGGCAGCUGCGCUAUGUGAUGAUAUGGACAAGGUGCAAAUGGGUGGUCCAAUGGCAAGGAAAGGGGGUAUUCUGCUUGACAUUGGCAUCAGACAAAGCCCAAUGGCAACUGCUGACACGCGAUUAAAAUCAGAUCCGCAUCUUAUCCAGCCAUUCACUAAUAAUUAAAGUAAACCCACGCGGUCCGCGAGAUGCAGCGUCCAUGCAUAGCACUUCCCGCCAAACAAUAGGAAAAAUUAGAAUUCAGAGAUAGCAGCUGCUUGCAUGAAACACGGUUGCACAGAAAUCAGUGGUGCUUGGACGGUAAGUAGUGUGGUGUACAAGCUUAAAGCGGCAGUGAGUCAGGUUAGUGUAACAAGCAGUACAUCAGCUGGAAGAUUGAUAUGUCUAUUGCCCACGCAGCAUAGCAUUUUAUUAUGAUACAUUGAGUUAUGUCAUAUUGUUACUUUAAGUUAUUUUUUAAGUAUUAGUUGUAGACAAUUUAGUUGCAAAUUUAAGCGGUUAUUUUAAAUUAUUUUUUAUAAUGGCAUAAGUGGGUAAUUUAGAUGAAGAUUAGGGGGUUACUUUAGCUUAUUUUAUAUAAUAGCAGAGGUGGGUAAUUUAGAUAUAAAUUUAGGGUUACUUUAGGCUAUUUUCUUAAUGGCAUAGGUGGGUAAUUUUUUUAGAAAUUAUAAUAGAUCUAAUGGCUACGAUGUUUGAGUCUACUCGUUGAUGGCAAGAUAUUUUGCUUGUUUGUGGAAAUUUUAAAUAUGUCUCUUUUUUGUAGAGUGUCCACCUAGGAUCCUAGGUGGCUUCGCUUGGAGGCUUCAAAAGGAGCUCCAAAAUUAGUAAUAGUAUGAUUUUCUCAAAAGAGACUUAAUUCUACCACUGUAACUUGAUUGGCCACCCUGGCCUCUACCUUUUCCCUCCAUUUGACUAUUUGAGUUGGCUGUGAACGAUUCUCGGCGCUAGCAACGUUACGUGUGAUCCAAAUGCCAGCACUCAUGUGCGCCACCUGUAUUCUAUGGGAAUGCCAUGAUGCAUGUGCAGUAACAGCGCGCACAUCUUGCAGGAUUCGCGCCUCGUUUUCACUAUUGUGUCAUCUUAGCAAUUAAAAGCGAAGUGUGCUUUGGGGUGGCAAUUGGGAUAUAGACAUUAUUCUCAAAAAGAAUCUUGAAGGCUUACAUUCACCCCCUCCGGUCGCCGGUUCCGAUCCUUCACCUAUAAAUUAGGAGUAGUAGUAGGUAGUAAGUGGCAGGUUAGGUAAGUACCCGUUGAUGAAUGUUGGCUUGGCGUGAUCGGCUCUGCUGGUUCCACGAAGAUGCCAAUAUACAGCAAGGACCUAAGUCCAAGGGGAAAAACAACCAACAAGUAGGUUUGUUGCCGACCGCUAGCUAAUCAACAGUGAUGUACGGGUGGAUUCGUGCGUAAAUAUUUUUUCAAUCAUGCCAUCAGGCCGCUGAUAAAAUGGGCUUAUGUUUGGCUAACCUUUAAAACAUUCUUAGAGCUGUUGGCCAUUGUGAUAACUUUGCACGUGCAUCAUUAACAUGCCAACAUACAACAAGGACAUAAGACCAAAGGAAAGAACAACCAACAAGUGCCUUUGCUGAUCGGUCAGGUCUCAGAGUUUGAGAAACUGGAUCUGACGGAUGUGAAAUUAAUCCAUGCGUGGCCUCAUGCAAAUUUGUUCACAGGUUUGAACAGCAUGUAAUCUUUUUCAGGCAUCUAUAUGGAGCGUGGGUGUGUUAUGUUAUCUUCUACUACACAUAUAACAUCAAAUUCAUUCAGUUUGGCCGAGAGCCCAAAAUGCAACGAAUAUGCCAUCCAACGUGAAAAAAAAGAGAUGAGGAACAGUAUACUCUAUCUUCGAAAUUAGUCAACGAGAUGCAGCUUCAAAAGAGAUAAGAGCAGACAAGAGGCACCAUGGGAUGCUGCAAAAUUUGGGAUCACGUGUGCAGAUCCCUAAUUAGGAAAAAAGAAUAAUUGAGCUAGCAACAAUAGUAGGACAUCUCCAUGCUCACCUAGUAUAGUAGCCACUUCUAGUGCGCGUGGAACACGACUGCCGGCCCAGUUGGCGCUAAGACAUCGUACGUGCAUUAAGUCUGAGGUGCUAGGACAGCUUCCUCUUGCUUCCCCACCAAAUCAUGAGCAACGAUCUCUUUCUUUCUAACUCAUGCUUGACUGUGACGGUGCUAUUAUAUAUUAUUGCAUGAUCAUCAAGAUAAGAUCGUAUAGUGACUGAGUGAGACAUCUAUGUACUAACUUGCAUUUAAGCCUCGAACUGUGUGUCAUUACGUGAGCUGCCUCCUGUCCUCGCCUCUGAAUUAUUGAACCGUUCCCAACAGCUAGUGUUGGUCUCAAAGGAAUUUGACACCAAACAGAUUGAUAAAGAAAAGAGAAUAAUACCUGGAAUUGGAAAAAGUUGAUCUCUCUAUACAAUGAGGUAGGGCUCCCCUUUUAUAGUGACCCAUCAGCCACUUUACAUUCCGAAAAUGUCCUUCCUCAACCACUACAUUCUUAGGAUAUGCCAUACAUAAAUGUCAUUUGAGGUGACGCGUACAAAUUGAACUCUUCCACGUGGUCACGUUUCUCACGCCUCUUGUUUUCCAACCUCGAGACUUCAUCUUCAUGCCAAGUUGAUCAUCUAGCCUCGAGGCUCCAUCUACGAUCCGGAAUGAACGUACAGCCUCGAGGCUCCUGCUUCGUUAAGCUUUGUUGAGAACUCAUAACCUCACAUAGUUCUCCUCCGAGUAUUGUAUCUGACUAAAGAGUAAAAAGGUAAAAGCUCGGUGCCCGGAACCGACUGAGAACACUCGAGGCUUAUAGCUCAGUUGGAGUUUAGCUAUUACCGUUGCCAGUCACCAGCCUCGAGCCCCUCCAGAAACAAGGUGAUGCGAGAGUACGAGUUUUACUAUUAGAGGUGUCCCCAUAGAACGUGCGAGGUUAAUGAGUUCAGUUUCUUUUACUGCCGACGCAUAACAUGCGAGGAUCAACGAAUAUGAGGAAUGGGACAUAGAACGUGCGAGGUUAAUGAGUUCAGUUUCUUUUACUGCCGACGCAUAACAUGCGAGGAUCAACGAAUAUGAGGAACACUAUAUGCCAUCCAACGGGAAAAAAAAAGAUGAGGAACAGUAUACUCUAUCUUCGAAAUUAGUUAUAAAGAUUCAGCUUCAAAAGAGAUAACGAGGUGUCCAAGACUCGAGGAGCCAGUCAAGAGCAGACAAGAGGCACAUGAGUGCAUGCAUCCACACCUUGGGAUGCUGCAAACUUUUAUGAGGCUGCAAGCUGCAUACAUAAGUUUAUUUCACCUUUGUUCACAAUACUCUUCACACACCAUUCACACACGUCUCAGGGAGCUCUGCAGCAAUGGUGGAGAUCUUAGCUAGACUGCUCACUUCCCUUGUUGUCGCUAUUGCUAAAAACACAAGCUCACCUCUGCUAUUGCGAAGCAGGCCAAUUUGCUGUGGAACUUUGGCGACGACCUGAAGGACAUGAAGUCGGUGCUGGAGUCCAUCUCAGCAGCGCUCCAGGACGCUGACACUGCUAGAAAAACGACCUUUCAUCCUCAACAAAAGUCCCGGUAGCUUUUUUACCUGGAACUAAAGAGGUUUUAGUGCUGCGCAAACACCUUUAGUCCGGGUUGCUGUUACCAACCAGGAGUAAAGGGUACGAUGGCACCAACCGGGACUAAAGCACCCCCCACGAGUUACUAUAAAGGAUUGCAUCCUCCACUUAGUCAGAUUUACUGUGUAGGUGAGAUGGUAAGGAAGCUAUGCGCGAGGCUUGAGAUCAUCGGUUCGAAUCCCAUGCACCGCGCGCGCACGCGCAUAGUUUGAGUGAAAAAUCAUGUCACUUGUGAUCGGCCAAGGAGAAGUGGGUGCAGAUGUGGCUUAAGCGGCUGAGGCACGCCGCCAUAGACAUCUCGGAUUUGCUACAUACAUCAUUGCACUUCCAAUUGACACCAAUUUAAAUGGUUCGUCUAGCCGCUACAAGGUAUCAUCAGAUAUAGAAGAAUUAGAGACUGGGGGUAAUAGCAAAAAAGGAAUAUAACUCGUCCGAGAAAUUGGGUGCAGGGGCGUGGGGUAAGGUAAUUGAAGUAACUAGCCAGUUUCUUCCCGAAACUUCCCAAGAAAAAUCCCGAAUUGGAUCCAAAAUUGACGGAUUAAUCAACCAAAAUAACCGUGAGCAGCCACAAUGUUAUAAGUCCCUUCUUCUUGACCAAAUUUGUAACCCUUAUUAGCAUACUCAUUUUCAGUGGUUUCCGUGAUCAAACUAGAGGUUACCAAGGAACCGUGUGCUCUAGCCCACAGGUGGCCGAAAACGGCCAAGAAGGGCUUCGGGGAUGGAAACAACGUGGAUGGUCAGAACACGUGAGAAUGACCACGGGAUGCAUGUUUGGCCCUGUAACAGUGUGCUAUAGAAAGCCGGAAAUGGCCAGGAGGGUCACCAGGGAUGAAGAUGCAGGGAUGGAUGGAACACGCGAAAAUGGCCACCAGUGAUUAGUGGCAGGUCUAGAGAGAUAUCUCAUCAAAUCGGUGAGUUAUAUCCGAUUUAAACGAGGAUAAAAAUGAGUGUAUUUUCCACCCAUCAUGUUGACUUUUCGCAGCUAUACUGCCUUUAGUGUGUUGUAUUGUUCCCAUGACACCAAGUCUCCAAGGCCCGAGAAAAUAAGGAAAGUGAUAGCAGCCCAGAAAUCGACCAAGUUUCUUUCCCCCUUUGGCAUUCCUACUAGGAUUCGGAAUACUCUUUCGCAUGACAAUCAUAAUUAUCUCCCAUAAUCCAAAACUCACAAAAACAUCAAAAAUCCGCCUAGAAUAAAUUAACUAAAAAACAUGCACACACAGAUAAUAAUAAUAAUAAUAAUAAUAAUAAUAAUAAUAAUAAUAAUAAUAAUAAUGUUUCUAUAAAAUUGCGAAGGCCAGAGACAAUACAUAAAAAUAUUAGACUGCUCAUGACACAUAUCACGGUGGACAGUGUCUACGUCCUUAUUACAAGCAGCGAGAGGAAUUAAACAUGCUUGUCACCACACACACGCGCGCGCACAGAUGCACGACACACAUAUGGUUGAGACCAACAAAUGGACCUCGACUAGAGGUCGCCCCAUAUGGUGAACAAUUUAUUGGAGAUAAACAUGAACAUAACUUGGCCAUAGCUUGAAGCAUAGCAACAUAUGCCUAUGAAUGGCAUUCAUGCUGGUAGCAAUGCAAUCAUAUCGUUUUAGGCUUGUCCAGCUUCUUCCAUCUUAGCAAGCACUGCCAUUUCUUCCAUCUUAGCAGCAACUGUCAUAUUGAGAUAUGGAAAUCCCAUUAGCGUAGGAGCUAAUUUUGCAGUGGAAAUAGAGUACAAGAUGUCUUCAUGAUGUAAGUAAUAUGCCUGAAGUUGUUAGAUGGGAAGUGAAGUCAACAAAUUACAUUAACGGAAAUGUAUGGAAGGCCACACAUACGUAUUAGUCCACGAUAUGCUACAAAGCUUGUAUGUACAUAUAACAAAUUAAAUGCAUUGAAUAGAGUGAGUUUACUGAAUUUACCAGAAUCGGACAGAACACAUGGGAAACAGCAAGUGUUCUUGCAGAGUGAGUCGGAGCCACCUGCAGUAAUACAAGCAAAACAACAUGCUUUUGCCCGGGCGGAUACGCAGCAGCUGCACUGUGCCGCGGUGGCCGGGUUAACAUUGAGGCUCAAGAUGACCAGGCACACGAUCACCAUCAAAGCGGUAGUCCUCUUUCCCUCCAUUGCCUCCUCUUUCUGCUACCUUCCUUGGUUACCUAGCUAAGUUUAUUGGUUUUGUGUUGAGAGGUGAUUCUUGAAUGGACGUUGCCGGCUGCAAUUUAUAGGCAGCUGCGCUAUGUGAUGAUAUGGACAAGGUGCAAAUGGGUGGUCCAAUGGCAAGGAAAGGGGGUAUUCUGCUUGACAUUGGCAUCAGACAAAGCCCAAUGGCAACUGCUGACACGCGAUUAAAAUCAGAUCCGCAUCUUAUCCAGCCAUUCACUAAUAAUUAAAGUAAACCCACGCGGUCCGCGAGAUGCAGCGUCCAUGCAUAGCACUUCCCGCCAAACAAUAGGAAAAAUUAGAAUUCAGAGAUAGCAGCUGCUUGCAUGAAACACGGUUGCACAGAAAUCAGUGGUGCUUGGACGGUAAGUAGUGUGGUGUACAAGCUUAAAGCGGCAGUGAGUCAGGUUGGUGUAACAAGCAGUACAUCAGCUGGAAGAUUGAUAUGUCUAUUGCCCACGCAGCAUAGCAUUUUAUUAUGAUACAUUGAGUUAUGUCAUAUUGUUACUUUAAGUUAUUUUUUAAGUAUUAGUUGUAGACAAUUUAGUUGCAAAUUUAAGCGGUUAUUUUAAAUUAUUUUUUAUAAUGGCAUAAGUGGGUAAUUUAGAUGAAGAUUAGGGGGUUACUUUAGCUUAUUUUAUAUAAUAGCAGAGGUGGGUAAUUUAGAUAUAAAUUUAGGGUUACUUUAGGCUAUUUUCUUAAUGGCAUAGGUGGGUAAUUUUUUUAGAAAUUAUAAUAGAUCCAAUGGCUACGAUGUUUGAGUCUACUCGUUGAUGGCAAGAUAUUUUGCUUGUUUGUGGAAAUUUUAAAUAUGUCUCUUUUUUGUAGAGUGUCCACCUAGGAUCCUAGGUGGCUUCGCUUGGAGGCUUCAAAAGGAGCUCCAAAAUUAGUAAUAGUAUGAUUUUCUCAAAAGAGACUUAAUUCUACCACUGUAACUUGAUUGGCCACCCCGGCCUCUACCUUUUCCCUCCAUUUGACUAUUUGAGUUGGCUGUGAACGAUUCUCGGCGCUAGCAACGUUACGUGUGAUCCAAAUGCCAGCACUCAUGUGCGCCACCUGUAUUCUAUGGGAAUGCCAUGAUGCAUGUGCAGUAACAGCGCGCACAUCUUGCAGGAUUCGCGCCUCGUUUUCACUAUUGUGUCAUCUUAGCAAUUAGGAGCGAAGUGUGCUUUGGGGUGGCAAUUGGGAUAUAGACAUUAUUCUCGAAAAGAAUCUUGAAGGCUUACAUUCACCCCCUCCGGUCGCCGGUUCCGAUCCUUCACCUAUAAAUUAGGAGUAGUAGUAGGUAGUAAGUGGCAGGUUAGGUAAGUACCCGUUGAUGAAUGUUGGCUUGGCGUGAUCGGCUCUGCUGGUUCCACGAAGAUGCCAAUAUACAGCAAGGACCUAAGUCCAAGGGGAAAAACAACCAACAAGUAGGUUUGUUGCCGACCGCUAGCUAAUCAACAGUGAUGUACGGGUGGAUUCGUGCGUAAAUAUUUUUUCAAUCAUGCCAUCAGGCCGCUGAUAAAAUGGGCUUAUGUUUGGCUAACCUUUAAAACAUUCUUAGAGCUGUUGGCCAUUGUGAUAACUUUGCACGUGCAUCAUUAACAUGCCAACAUACAACAAGGACAUAAGACCAAAGGAAAGAACAACCAACAAGUGCCUUUGCUGAUCGGUCAGGUCUCAGAGUUUGAGAAACUGGAUCUGACGGAUGUGAAAUUAAUCCAUGCGUGGCCUCAUGCAAAUUUGUUCACAGGUUUGAACAGCAUGUAAUCUUUUUCAGGCAUCUAUAUGGAGCGUGGGUGUGUUAUGUUAUCUUCUACUACACAUAUAACAUCAAAUUCAUUCAGUUUGGCCGAGAGCCCAAAAUGCAACGAAUAUGCCAUCCAACGUGAAAAAAAAGAGAUGAGGAACAGUAUACUCUAUCUUCGAAAUUAGUCAACGAGAUGCAGCUUCAAAAGAGAUAAGAGCAGACAAGAGGCACCAUGGGAUGCUGCAAAAUUUGGGAUCACGUGUGCAGAUCCCUAAUUAGGAAAAAAGAAUAAUUGAGCUAGCAACAAUAGUAGGACAUCUCCAUGCUCACCUAGUAUAGUAGCCACUUCUAGUGCGCGUGGAACACGACUGCCGGCCCAGUUGGCGCUAAGACAUCGUACGUGCAUUAAGUCUGAGGUGCUAGGACAGCUUCCUCUUGCUUCCCCACCAAAUCAUGAGCAACGAUCUCUUUCUUUCUAACUCAUGCUUGACUGUGACGGUGCUAUUAUAUAUUAUUGCAUGAUCAUCAAGAUAAGAUCGUAUAGUGACUGAGUGAGACAUCUAUGUACUAACUUGCAUUUAAGCCUCGAACUGUGUGUCAUUACGUGAGCUGCCUCCUGUCCUCGCCUCUGAAUUAUUGAACCGUUCCCAACAGCUAGUGUUGGUCUCAAAGGAAUUUGACACCAAACAGAUUGAUAAAGAAAAGAGAAUAAUACCUGGAAUUGGAAAAAGUUGAUCUCUCUAUACAAUGAGGUAGGGCUCCCCUUUUAUAGUGACCCAUCAGCCACUUUACAUUCCGAAAAUGUCCUUCCUCAACCACUACAUUCUUAGGAUAUGCCAUACAUAAAUGUCAUUUGAGGUGACGCGUACAAAUUGAACUCUUCCACGUGGUCACGUUUCUCACGCCUCUUGUUUUCCAACCUCGAGACUUCAUCUUCAUGCCAAGUUGAUCAUCUAGCCUCGAGGCUCCAUCUACGAUCCGGAAUGAACGUACAGCCUCGAGGCUCCUGCUUCGUUAAGCUUUGUUGAGAACUCAUAACCUCACAUAGUUCUCCUCCGAGUAUUGUAUCUGACUAAAGAGUAAAAAGGUAAAAGCUCGGUGCCCGGAACCGACUGAGAACACUCGAGGCUUAUAGCUCAGUUGGAGUUUAGCUAUUACCGUUGCCAGUCACCAGCCUCGAGCCCCUCCAGAAACAAGGUGAUGCGAGAGUACGAGUUUUACUAUUAGAGGUGUCCCCAUAGAACGUGCGAGGUUAAUGAGUUCAGUUUCUUUUACUGCCGACGCAUAACAUGCGAGGAUCAACGAAUAUGAGGAACACUAUAUGCCAUCCAACGGGAAAAAAAAGAUGAGGAACAGUAUACUCUAUCUUCGAAAUUAGUUAUAAAGAUUCAGCUUCAAAAGAGAUAACGAGGCGUCCAAGACUCGAGGAGCCAGUCAAGAGCAGACAAGAGGCACAUGAGUGCAUGCAUCCACACCUUGGGAUGCUGCAAACUUUUAUGAGGCUGCAAGCUGCAUACAUAAGUUUAUUUCACCUUUGUUCACAAUACUCUUCACACACCAUUCACACACGUCUCAGGGAGCUCUGCAGCAAUGGUGGAGAUCUUAGCUAGACUGCUCACUUCCCUUGUUGUCGCAAUUGCUAAAAACACAAGCUCACCUCUGCUAUUGCGAAGCAGGCCAAUUUGCUGUGGAACUUUGGCGACGACCUGAAGGACAUGAAGUCGAUGCUGGAGUCCAUCUCAGCAGCGCUCCAGGACGCUGACACUGCUAGAAAAACGACCUUUCAUCCUCAACAAAAGUCCCGGUAGCUUUUUUACCUGGAACUAAAGAGGUUUUAGUGCUGCGCAAACACCUUUAGUCCGGGUUGCUGUUACCAACCAAGAGUAAAGGGUACGAUGGCACCAACCGGGACUAAAGCACCCCCCACGAGUUACUAUAAAGGAUUGCAUCCUCCACUUAGUCAGAUUUACUGUGUAGGUGAGAUGGUAAGGAAGCUAUGCGCGAGGCUUGAGAUCAUCGGUUCGAAUCCCACGCACCGCGCGCGCACGCGCAUAGUUUGAGUGAAAAAUCAUGUCACUUGUGAUCGGCCAAGGAGAAGUGGGUGCAGAUGUGGCUUAAGCGGCUGAGGCACGCCGCCAUAGACAUCUCGGAUUUGCUCGAAGACUACCAAGACACUAGCGAACCCUUAACAGCAAAGGUGAGUACUUAUGCGUGUCAACAUCUAUGUUGUCCAUGCUUCCAAUGCAAUAAGAAGAAGGACUACUCUUCCUAGCGGACUCUUCACAACCACUCGUAAAGCUAUGUGUUUCUCAAUUCAAUUUCGUAGAAGGCAAUGGAUCCAAUCAACCGACUAAAUCAUUCGUCCUUGCCAAUGAUGUGCUUCAGGUUUUCUAUAUGAAGGACAUGUGACUACUAGAAAAACGAUCUUUCAUCCCUAGCCUUAGUACCGGUUGCAUUUGGAACCGGUACUAAUGUUUACAUUAGUACCGGUUCCAAAGGAUACUAUCCGGAGCGCACCUCGAUGACCCCUUUAGUACCGGUUGGGGGCAACAACCGGUACUAAAGGGUGAGCAUUAGUACCGGUUGUUACCUUAAUCCGGUACUAAAGGGCUACCCACCCUCUAUUACCGGUUGGUGGCAUCAACCGGUACUAAAAGGGAUACCCUCUAGCACCGGUUGCUGCCACAACCCGGUACUAGUGCGGCGCCAUGCAGAAUAGAAGGUAGAUCGAUUGUACAUGGAGGGGGAACAAAGGGAGAAAGGCAAAUCAUCAGCUUAUUAUCACAUGGUAGACUAGUCUUUAAAACAUGUUUAGGGCAGAGCACAUUACGUUUAUCUUGUUUUGCACAACAACAAAUGUGACCUUUAGAAGAUAGCCCUCCUCUAAUUAAACUAGUGCACUAUUACAGGAUGGUAUCGCACGCUUCCUUUUUCCCUAUGAAAAUGAAGUUUUUAAUGAUCUGAUAGCAGCUGGCAAAACAAAUGAUUGCAAAGAUGUUUGCAGAUGUUUGCAGAUGAUAAUGCCACAGUCGACGGAGAGAGCAUCUGGGUCUAACCAUAAUAACACAAGUCUUUCCUUUAGAUAACAUGCCAUCAGAUUCCUUGCAAGAGUUUGUAUGUUCGACCAACAGGAAGUUGACGAAAGAGUGGGACAAAAAUGUGACUCGAUCAUGUCAUUGUGGGCAAAGGUCCUAGUGGCUCAUGGAAUAGAUGAUAUCACUUGAAGUACAUAGGACAGAGAGGCCAUAGUCGGCACAAGGAGAAGCAUGACCAGAAACUUGAAAGAGGUAAGCUUCAAAGCUAGGAGGAAUGUUAUUCUUGCUAGUUCAAUGGUGUCUUCUUAUAGAUCAGUUCAUAGAUCUUAUAUAUUUGGCCGUGACGAUAAUAAAUAUUUAAUAUGAACUCAGAUAUAGAUAAAAUUUAUAUCAAAAUUGUUGAUCUCAACGAGAUUUACAACUUUGUAGUUCAAAUUAUUUUCAUUUGGAGCCAUCUUGGUGCUCAAAUAAUCGAAACAUUUUUUAGAUCUAAAAUUUAAUUUUAGAUCUAAAACUUGUGUCGAUUAUUUGAGCACCAAGAUAAUACCAAAUGAAAAAUGUUUGAACUACAAAGUUGUAGAUCUCGUCGAGAUCUACAAUUUUCAUAUAAAGUUUAUCUCCAUCCGAGUUCAUAUGAAUUAGUUCAACCGGCGGUAAUGCUGCUACAGUGUAGCUUCUGCCGUUUCAAACGACGGUAUAGGUUUAGAUUACCAAUUUUUUUUAACCCAUAUAUUUUUGCAAAAUACUAAAAUAAAAAAUAUAUAAAAAAAUUCUAGUUUUAAUCAGCAAUGACUAAAUGUUAGCCCGGUUAUGCCCCAUGUUAGGUCUAGUCAUGGACCAAUAAAACAUGUGCUAGACUUCAUGGCCACCGGAUGCGUGUUCAACCAUGUAAUCGUAUGCUAUACCUCACAGGAGGUUGAAAAUGGCCCGAAGGGGUACAGUGGAUGAAAACGUCGGGGACACUCGGAACACAAGAAAAUGACCACCAGAUACGUGUUUGGCCAUUGUAACUGUGCGCUAUAGUUGAUAGGUUGAAAGCGGCUCGAAGAGGCAUCAGGGAUGGAAACAUGGGGGAUGGUCGGAACACUUGAAAAUGGCACUGGAUAAGUGUGCUUAUUCCUUACAAAACGCUGAAAAUGGCUCGGAAGGGUCAUCGAGGAUGGAAACUAGGUGGUCAAUAAGUGAAAAUGGGCAGCGGACAUGUUCGGUCAUGUAACCGUGUGCUAUAGUCCACUAGAGGUCGGAAAGCUGCCCUAGGGGCUCUAGAGACGAAAACGUGAGGAACAGCUAAAAGGUUACGUGUUUGGUCAUGACAGCCCUAUUAGGAAGCGAUAGAAGUGGAAAGAUAGCUGGUUUCAGAUUGGCAACCCAUCUUUUGCUUCCCCCUUACUUCCAUCCGUAAUCCAUGGGCAUCGAAUUUAAAAGUAUACAAAUCACUUUUAGAUGUAAUUGAGGGUAAAGAGGGGAGGUUUCGUGAGACUCUACAAUGUUCAAAUCGUUCAUUCGUUAGGAUGCCUCAGCUACAUACAUCAUUGCACUUCCAAUUGACACCAAUUUAAAUGGUUCGUCUAGCCGCUACAAGGUAUCAUCAGAUAUAGAAGAAUUAGAGACUGGGGGUAAUAGCAAAAAAGGAAUAUAACUCGUCCGAGAAAUUGGGUGCAGGGGCGUGGGGUAAGGUAAUUGAAGUAACUAGCCAGUUUCUUCCCGAAACUUCCCAAGAAAAAUCCCGAAUUGGAUCCAAAAUUGACGGAUUAAUCAACCAAAAUAACCGUGAGCAGCCACAAUGUUAUAAGUCCCUUCUUCUUGACCAAAUUUGUAACCCUUAUUAGCAUACUCAUUUUCAGUGGUUUCCGUGAUCAAACUAGAGGUUACCAAGGAACCGUGUGCUCUAGCCCACAGGUGGCCGAAAACGGCCAAGAAGGGCUUCGGGGAUGGAAACAACGUGGAUGGUCAGAACACGUGAGAAUGACCACGGGAUGCAUGUUUGGCCCUGUAACAGUGUGCUAUAGAAAGCCGGAAAUGGCCAGGAGGGUCACCAGGGAUGAAGAUGCAGGGAUGGAUGGAACACGCGAAAAUGGCCACCAGUCAUUAGUGGCAGGUCUAGAGAGAUAUCUCAUCAAAUCGGUGAGUUAUAUCCGAUUUAAACGAGGAUAAAAAUGAGUGUAUUUUCCACCCAUCAUGUUGACUUUUCGCAGCUAUACUGCCUUUAGUGUGUUGUAUUGUUCCCAUGACACCAAGUCUCCAAGGCCCGAGAAAAUAAGGAAAGUGAUAGCAGCCCAGAAAUCGACCAAGUUUCUUUCCCCCUUUGGCAUUCCUACUAGGAUUCGGAAUACUCUUUCGCAUGACAAUCAUAAUUAUCUCCCAUAAUCCAAAACUCACAAAAACAUCAAAAAUCCGCCGAGAAUAAAUUAACUAAAAAACAUGCACACACAGAUAAUAAUAAUAAUAAUAAUAAUAAUAAUAAUAAUAAUAAUAAUAAUAAUAAUAAUAAUAAUAAUCAUGUUUCUAUAAAAUUGCUAAGGCCAGAGACAAUACAUAAAAAUAUUAGACUGCUCAUGACACAUAUCACGGUGGACAGUGUCUGUGUCCUUAUUACAAGCAGCGAGAGGAAUUAAACAUGCUUGUCACCACACAUGCGCGCGCACAGAUGCACGACACACAUAUGGUUGAGACCAACAGAUGGACCUCGACUAGAGGUCGCCCCAUAUGGUGAACAAUUUAUUGGAGAUAAACAUGAACAUAACUUGGCCAUAGCUUGAAGCAUAGCAACAUAUGCCUAUGAAUGGCAUUCAUGUUGGUAGCAAUGCAAUCAUAUCGUUUUAGGCUUGUCCAGGUUCUUCCAUCUUAGCAAGCACUGCCAUUUCUUCCAUCUUAGCAGCAACUGUCAAAUUGAGAUAUGGAAAUCCCAUUAGCGCAUGAAUUAAUUUUGCAGUGGAAAUAGAGUACAAGAUAUCUUCAUGAUGUAAGUAAUAUGCCUGAAGUUGUGAGAUGGGAAGUGAAGUCAACAAAUUACAUUAACGGAAAUGCAUGGAAGGCCACACAUAUGUAUUAGUCCACGAUAUGCUACAAAGCUUGUAUGUACAUAUAACAAAUUAAAUGCAUUGAAUAGAGUGAGUUUACUGAAUUUACCAGAAUCGGACAGAACACAUGGGAAACAGCAAGUGUUCUUGCAGAGUGAGUCGGAGCCACCUGCAGUAAUACAAGCAAAACAACAUGCUUUUGCCCGGGCGGAUACGCAGCAGCUGCACUGUGCCGCGGUGGCCGGGUUAACAUUGAGGCUCAAGAUGACCAGGCACAUGAUCACCAUCAAAGGGGUAGUCCUCUUUCCCUCCAUUGCCUCCUCUUGCUGCUACCUUCCUUGGUUACCUAGCUAAG
rnacentral:lncRNA from 1 species